GCCAAACUGAAGCAUCUUGAGUCAUUAUGUCCAAAGCGGUUAGAUGAGACAAACUCNUUAGCUCUUCUAGACUUGCAUUUUUGCUUUGAUCGUUGCUUCCCUUGACAUCCCAUUGAAUAAAGCAAUUCCCCAUGUACAACUCUUCCAAGCACGUUAAGCUGGAAAUAAGAUUUGCAGGAAUGAAUCUCAAUGCAGAACAGUUGGUUAUAUUCAACAUUCGAAGAUUAUUUAGUUGUCCUAUUUCUUUUGGGAGCUCUUUAAUAUCAGAUCUUUCAAGCCUGAGAAUCUCUAAACUUUUCAACUCUGCAACUAUUGAUAUGUCUUCUAACACACAUCCUGUAAGAACCAAUGUUUGGAGUUUUGUCAAGAGACAUAGUGAAGUUGGUGGAGACGGGGCAAACAUCAUUCCAUAUAAACUAAUGACCUUUAGCUCUAUCAUCCCAGAGAAGAAGUCAUCGGGGACUUUCAAAUAAUCUCCUAUAUUCUGAAGCUGCAGUAGCUUCAACUCUGGGCACUUCAACUUCUCAGGAAGCUUGUAAAUAAAAGACCAAGGAAGGAUGAUCUGAUGGCAUUUUUGAAGCUCAUCCAUCCCAGGCCAUUGAUUUACUUUAGUGUACCUUUUCACCCCAUAGGUUGGUCGAGUCCUACAUGCAAUUGAUUUAGCCAUAUCUCUUACAUAAUCAUGAAUUCUAACCCGAUCAAAUUCAGACUCAAGUAACAAUGAAGAUGCCUUAAGGUCAUUUAUUAAUCUGUUGAAUCUGAUUCUUGCAUCUGCAAAUUUGUGAGAAUGUCUAAAUAAGCCCAACCCCCAAUAACAUACUAAAAGUGGUCCAGUGUAGAGGUAAUCCAGUCCAAAGGAACCAAUUAAUAAGAAUAGCAACUUCAGUUCUUCACUCUCUAAACAAUUAUAACUCAAUUCCAGAGUAGAGUAAACUUUCUUAUUCAACCCUUCUUGAUCAAAUCUCUGUAAUUCAUUUAAGGCAUCCUUCCAAUUAGAGACUUGUUUUUUCCUCAAAGCCUUUGCCGUAGUGACUAUCAAAAGGGGCAAACCAGCACAACAUUUGGCAACCUUUAUCGCAAUUGGUUUUAUAUUGAAUUCGUGAACAACAUCACCUGCCAUCUUCUCAAACAAUUUCCAGCUAUCCUCCUCAAGUAAAACUUCAAGUCUAAAUUCUUUUUGAGUGCCCAUCUCACAAAUCAACACAUUAAGAUCUCUGGAUGUCACCACCAAUUUGCAUCCUUUGUGAUCAUUACCAAAAGGAACCCCUAGUUCUGUCAAAUCAAGUCUCCCCCAAAUGUCAUCCAAAAUAACAAGAAUACGCUUCUCCUUGGUUAUCCUAUCACGUAAUUCUCUUGCCUUUCCUUCUUCUGUUUUCUUUUUAAACUUGAAAUCCAAGGCUUCAGCAAUUUGACGUCGAAUUGUUUCAAGAUUUGGUAAACUUGUUAUAGUAGCCAUAACAAUAGUACCAAAUGACCCAUCAUUCUUCGCUUUCCAAGAUAACUCUUUCAUCAGUGUUGUCUUCCCCACACCACCCAUUCCAUACACCCCAACAAUGAAGAUGCUAGGAUCCUUCAAUGCCAGUAUAAUUUCAUUUAACAUUGAUGUUCUGGAUUCAAGGGCCUCAUAACCUCUACCGAACGGCGUAACUGUAAUUUGAGAAGCAGCACGGUAGGAAAUUUUAUCAAAACUUCCUUUUGCUACGAUUUCAGAAAUCGUUUGCAUCAUCUUUAUCAUCUUCUUACUUAGCUGGUGCCUUGUGCACAAAUUGGGAAAAUGUCUCAUAGAACAUUGAGCUUUUGCAUGGCCUUCACUGUCAAUAAUUUCAUUUGCAUCUGCAACAGUGUUGUCCACUGUGUUCAACCAAUUCUGGACAAUAUUUUCAAUCUCUUCCCCGUUCCUUCUGGCCUCAUCAACAUUGUGUUGCAAAAUGUCUUUUAUUCCCUCCAAAUGUUGGACAUCAGUUGUCAUCUUGGUAAGGUUGCCCUUGUAAUCAAAUUGACGACGAAUAGCUUCAACCGUAAAUUCAGCAGUUUUAGUAGCAAAGUUAAUAAUAACUCCCAUGACAACAUCCAUGGUCACCCCUUUGCUAGCUACCAAUUUGAGUUUAUAGAAUUUUUUCUAUUGAAAUAGAGAGUUAGAUUCUAAUUUACGAGAAAUAUUUUACCACUUUAUAACAGCACAUGAAUAAACAGAGAAAAAUGAAAGCACAGAAAUGAAGACAAUAUUAAAUGAUUGGUGGAAGAAGAAAAAGAGAAGAGAAACACCAUCGUGUGGCAUAAAAAUGUGUCUGUGUUCAAUUUAGAAAAACUCAAAUAAACAUUAGCAAUUCAAAAAAUCAUUAAAAAUUUAGAAAAAUUAGAAAAUUCAGCAGCUUUAGAAAAAAAAAAUUGAAAUAAAAAAUUAUAUUGCCAUCUCUUAUUUGUUAGCUGUUAGUUGAUUUUUUUGGUAGUAAGCUGACGAGGACAAAUGUUAGUUGAUUUAAAACAAUGAAUACAAUUAGGUCAAAUUUGCUAAUGAGUGUUUUAUAUCACUGAAAUGAAAACUAAAAUAAUAUUGAUAUUUAUGGAUUAGUUUAUUAAGUGUAAGUCUUCUAUAAUCACAACAUAAAAUAAACAAUAUUUAGACAUACUCACAUUAAAUUAGAAAAAUUAAAACAAAAAUAAUUUGAUCACAUCAAUCAACAUCAUUUAAGUCUUGAGUUAUGGGUUGUGUUGUCGCUCAAAAAGUCGACUUAGGGGGUUGUAUUAAAUUGAGAUUUUGAAGGAUUUUAAAUGACUUUUUGGUUAUAAAAAAAUCUUGAGGUAUUCAAUCAUGAUUUUAAAAUAUUAGAAAUAAUUUCAGUGGUAUUCAAUUAAGAUUUUCAGGCAUUUUUAAAGAGUCCACAUUAUUAAUUUUUUACUCAUGAUCACGUUAUUGCAUGUUUAUUUUUAUUUUUAUUUUUCAGUUUGUCCUAAGACUUUUUGUAUUAAUUUUAAUUUUAUCAUGUAAAUUUUUUAUUUUUUAUUCAAAUAUUAGAUUUUUCAGUUCUUCCUAAGGUUUUUUGAAUUUUUUUAGUUCAAUAGAGGCAUCCAAUCUUGUAAUUUUGAAUUUUUUCUAAAAUUUAAUAGAGUCAUUUCAAAUCCUAGGAAUUCUCAUAAAGUACUUUCAAAUCUUUAAAAGUCUUUGAGUUAAAAUCCUUCAAAAUCUCAAAAAAUCUUGAAAGUUAAGGCAUUCCUACACAAUCUUUUAAAAUCUUCAUGACUUUUUUUACCAAAAUAGUCUUUCAAAAUUUCAAUCCAAUACACCAUCCUUAGUAUUUAUGACAAGUUAGAGCAGACACAAAAACACCCAGUCAUAGAUGAAUCGUGCAUUUAUUGAUUGUUUCGACAAAUAUGUGCUCGUCUUUUCAAAUUUUUUGAUCACGCUAACGUUGGUAAUUAUAAACAAUACUUUUUACGAAAUUUUAAUUAAAAGUAUAAAUAUAGAUGUUUGUGACUUUCAAAUUAUAACCAACUUAACAAACCUUUUUGUCAAAAAAAAAUAAAAAUAACCAACUUAAUAAACCAUAUUUAUAUUUUUCAAUGGCACUAACAAUAUAGCAAAUAUAAUAUAAAUUUUUUAUUUCUUAAUGAAACCAAUAAUAAACAUUAGUAUAAAAAAAAUUGUUUAAGGGUAUGACUGGGAUAAUAAAAAAGUCAGUCAAAAAUCUCUUAUCCCCAUUACAUAUAUCAAUAGCAUCAAGAAGGGCACUAUCAUGCCCCUCUUUCCGCUUUUAUUGACAAAGAAUGCUAAAAUUGUAAAAAAUAUUAAGUCAAGGGUAAAGUUGGAAUAAAACAUGUUAGAUCAAAACACAAUUUUUUUUGUUUAUAUAAGGUCAAAAUAAGGUUUCUCAUCAUGCUUCUCCUUUUGUUGUGAAUUAUUCAUAUUUUAAUGGGAUUUAAAUAAUUUUUUAAUUGAUAAUUUAAAUAAAAAUAAUAAAGAGUUUUUCUAUUCACACCCCAUCUAUUUCUGGUUACACCAAACUUUACUUAAAAGUUUAUAAUAAUAUCAAACUAAGUUUACUUGACCUACUUAAACUAAGUUUAAAUGACCUAGUUAAACUGAGUUUAAGUAUGUACACUAAAAAAACUCAGUUUAAAUAACUUACUUAAAUUGUGUUUUGGAAAAGGAAAGAAGGAUGAGACGUAAGUUUUUUGGGUGAAUGGAUAAAUUUGAAAAUUAAAUUUUAUUUAAGAGUAAUUUUGUCAUUGUGGGGUGUAACCAGGAAUAUCUAUGGUGUUAAAUGAAGGGGUAAAAAUGGAAAGAAAAAAUUCAGCCGAAAUGGCUCUUCCCAUUCCUGUUUUAAUGAGAUUUAGUUUUUUUAAUUAAUAAUUUAAAUAAUAUUAUAAAACGUAAAUAAAAUUGUUUAAAUAAAGAAUAAAGUAUGAAAGGAAACAGACAUAUAAAACUCAUGCAUUCUGCUUAUAUAUGGUAUAGAUUUACUAAAGUGUUUUUUUUUAGGAAAACUUAUCAAAGUGUUGAAAUGAGAAAAAAUUGCCUAACCCUAAUUUGCUGAUUUGUCUAGGGUUACAAGAUUGAAGAAAACAUCUAUUGAUUAACGAGAAAAAUAUCCUAAUUUUUGUGGUUGUGGUAUUAAUGUAUGAAGUGUGGGACCCUAAAAAAUAUUAAUCCUUAGUGAAGAUAUUGAGAGUGGGUGUGUGCCCUAAAUUGUCAUGACUUAAAUAAUUUUUGAAAAAUUCGUUGUUAUGCAAGCAACCUAGUUGCUUUACUUGAAAAAAUGAAAAAAGAAAUGUUAGAUGUGUUUGUGGUUUAUGUGAAGUACAGAAAAUAAUGUAAACACAAAGGAACCUAAGGAAAAAAUUUCUUAGAAACGUUGAAAAAUUAUAAGUGUCAAAGUUUUGGUUUUGAAGAAACAUUUUGGUCAAGAUUGAGGAAAAACCUAAAUUUUUGUUUGUGUUGUUGAUUUCUUUAUGUUUGAUAAAAAUAAAGAUGCGAGAUAAAACAGGAGAUUCGUUAUUUUAGAACUUUGAUUUUUAUGGGAUUUUUAUGUGUAGUUGAUUUAUGAUAAUAAAACAAACCCUUGACUGUAUUUGGGGUACUGAUCAAAGCCACGUUAUAUUUUAGAACGUUGAAGGAUAUUCAUAUUAAUUUAGUUAGCAAAGAUUUAGAUGAUGGAUAUUUGUCUUACAUAUGAUUGGAUAAAUAUGUUCUAAUUAUAACUCAUUUUGUGGAUGGUAUGUAAAUUUUUGCAUUUCCAUAAGAUGGAGAGUCGUAUGUUAUUAUUUUUUAUUUUUUUAGGGAGAGUUGUAUCUUCAUGUAUUUCAUAAUUUUUUUUUCAACAAGUCAUGCAUUUCAUAGUUAACUAUAUGUUGGAGAGACUACACUCGAUGUAGAAUUUUUCUGUAUGGAGCCCACUUUAUCAUGGAGGAUUUUAGUAUGUAUUUGGUUGGUCUAUGACUAUAGCCCUUCAGAAAAGCUCGACACUACUAAUUUCAUUUAAUUUAUUUGUAACUUUACAAAUGAAAUUAGUAGUAACGAGCUUUUUACCUUAGUGAGAAAAAUAUUAUCUGGGUAAUAGAUUGGUUGACUUGCAACCAUGUCUUAACUACUCAAAAAAGACUGCUAUAUUGACAAUAUAAGAUAGAUUUAGAAAGAUUCAUAAAUCAUUGCUCAUUUAAAUUCAAAGAAAUGCAACGAAAUGAAGAAAUUAAAUUACCUUUAAAUAUGCUAGAGAUUCUGAUUUCAAAUACUCAGUUCUUCGUUUUCUUCUUCGUUGGGUGCGAGCUUUUGAAGUAUCAGAUGCAAAUGCAGGUUGUAUUAAUUUGUGUGUACUUAAUUAGGGGUUUAGGGAUACAUUAUUUGUAUAUCUUGCAAGAAAUUUGCCUAAUUAGCUUUGGUAUCAUUGUAAUUAAUAAACUUAAAAGUGUCUCUUUGGUAUAACUUCUUCUUUUUAGGAAUCAUUGGUAUAACUUGUCUCAACGCAUUUGGAAUUGGAUUUUCUGUUUAAUUAGUAUAAUUUCCACCUUUUUAUCAUCAAAAGUAAAAAAUUAAAAUUAAAAUUGGGCCGUUCUUUUUUAAACUUAAAGCGGUCUUAAUUAUUAAAAAAUAAAAAAUAUCACUAAUUGCGCAUGAAACUUUUUACUCGAUUGGUCUUGGUAUCAUUGCAUUGUAAACUUUUUUUUUAAAUAAGGUAUCAUUGUAAACUUAAAGUACAUGCAUUUGAACAAAUUAACAACUUAACUAAUCCGCUAAUCAUGCUCUCAAUUGGUUUUGGUAUCAUUGUAAACUUAAAACUGUCGGUUUAGUAUAACUUGUGUUCAAUGGAUUUUCCUAAGUUUUGCGCUUAAUUUUGUUCUCAAUUUGAAAUGAAAUAUAAAAAAAAAAAAAAUAGUAGUUUAAAAGUUGAUGUAUGUGGUUGUUGACGUGAAAAUAGGCUUACUAGAUAAAACCAGUAACUCGAAAGAUCAAUUUAGGAUUUAAGUUUGAUCCUCAUAGGGUUUCUAGUUGAUAGAUUUAAGGUCACAAGUCUUAAUGUCCUUGACGUAAAAUAAUUUUGACUUGCAUACAUCAUUCAAUUCAAACAACAAGCAAGAUGUGUUAGGGACAAUAUAUUUAUCUAGUAUGCCUAUUUUACCCAACAUGAAUGAACUCUUUUGCAUGGAGUCUGAUUCUAUUAUUUAUACAAAAAUAACAAACUAACUUCUUAAAUGAAUGAAUUACAAGUGUCCUUCAAGAUCCUUCGUUAUUUUGAAAACAAUUUAACAUAAACUAUCUUUUAGGACAUAUAACAGUUGUUCAUACAUGUUGGAAUAUCUCUAAUUUAUAUAGUACAUUUGAAGUGGUGUUGAUACAAUCCCCAUUGUCAUCCAUUAAUAAUAUAUUCAAACCAUAUCUUGAUCACGUGAUAUUGCAGCAUAUAUGCGAGAACACCGAUUGUGGAAAAUAGAUGCCAAUUUGCUCAAGUGAUUGCCCUUAACUUUUGUUUAUAGACAUUGCAAAACACAUAACUAUAGGAAAUUGUCUGCGCUGAAAUUUGAAAGGAAUUAAUUCUCGUAUUUGAUGGUGUCAAUGACAACAUUGGAGAUAACCAAACCUUAGAUCUCGAGAAGAAGCAAACUCUCAGGCCCCAAGCCAUGGUCGCUAUAUAUUUGAAUGAAGAAAAACUUAAACAACUAAAAGUAGCACCGAAAUUGGAUAUGAAAAUAAAGUGAAAUACUUAUCGUCGCUUUAAAUUUGAGUGAAGAAAGUUCUGGUGAACUUAGCUCAAUUGGUAGGGACAAUGCAUAAUAUAUACAAGGUUCGAGAUUCAAACCUCGGCCACCACAAAAAAUUUGAAUGAAGAAAAAUACUUUAAAUAACGAAAAAAAUAGUAACAGAGUUGGGUAUGAAAAUAAAGAAUUUGAGUACAAAUUUCAUCAAGUUUUUUAUUAAAGACAAAAUGAAUGUAUUGAAAAACCACAACCAAGUACAAUAUGUGCAUGGACGGAAAAUUACAAAAUAAGGCUUAUAAAUACAAAGGUGAAAAAAACUUUAAAUAACUAAAAAAAAAAUAGCAACACAAUUUCGUAUGAAAAUAAAGAAUUUGAGUACAAAUUUCAUCAAGUUUUUUAUUAAAGACAAAAUGAAUGUAUUGAAAAACCACAGCCAAGUACAAUAUGUGCAUGGACGGAAAAUUACAAAAUAAGGCUUAUAAAUACAAAGGUGAAAAAAAACUUUAAAUAACUAAAAAAAAUAGCAACACAAUUUGGUAUGAAAAUAAAGAAUUUGAGUACAAAUUUCAUCAAGUUUUUUAUUAAAGGCAAAAUGAAUGUAGUGAAAAACCACAGCCAAGUACAAUAUGUGCAUGGAUGGAAACUUACAAAAUAAAGCUUAUAAAUAUAAAUAAUCAAAGCCAAAUGACACCAAAAUCAUGAUAAAAAGCACCAUUAUAACAAAAGAUGUACUCAUUGCACCACUUACAAAACACUCUAUCGGUCAACAAAGAAACACCACUACCAACUUGAUCUCAAAUGAUCCCAUGCAUAACCUACAAAUGAGAGACCAAAUAUAAUUCAAUUCCAUGAAGGUAACAAUCUACGAAAAUCUCUUCAUGAACUCGCCAAUUAUGGAGACACUUAUGCAAAGAAUCAACACCAGCAACUUCUACAUGAGUAUAAGUUGAAUGUAGCAAUAACCUCUCCAUGGAGCAGUCAACGCGCAAUAAAUGGACAAACAUUAUAGUUAAAAAUCUGCAUAAAUGAAUCACUUGAUAACCUAAGACACCUCAAACCUUUCUGUUUACCUUGGUUUUUGGUAAACAACCGUUGACUUAAAAUUAGUUACAUGCAAGAUCAACCAGUAAAUCUUAGGACAUACUGUGUUUGUUAUUUUCGAAAAUUAUGAAUGUUCUUGAUAUUCUUAUGUAGAAUAUGAAUAUAACCGUCGAAUUAAACAAAGAUUGAACCCGUCGAAGUUAUCUUCAAAGGAGUAGGAUAGAAUGCUUGAAAAGAACAAGUAAAUUGCAAAGGAAUUUAAAGAAAUAAAAGUAAAUUGCAUAGACUGAAUGUAAAUUGGUACACAGAUUCAAUACAUUGUGACUUGUUACUCGUUUCUCUCUGAAUGCGGAUAGUUUGAGUGUAAGUUUUCUGUAUGAUUGAAUUGUGACCCAUUUUUCCUAUGAAAAGCUACUAUUUAUACUAAGUAACUACCUACACAGAACCGAUCGAACUUAACUGCUAAAAACUACCACAUACAUCCCUUUGAUUUGAAUUUCAAUUGACAUCCUUCGACAGUAACCGUUGCUUGGCUCCUUUAUCUAGCACCAACCUCUCUUCGACGCUUGCUUGCUUGUCAAACCAUCACCAUAAAAACAUCAAAUCUCUUUAAGUCCAAGAAUUCGAAGUUAGUGAAUCGAACUCAUUAACUCUCUUCAAAACCUAAGUCAAAUUCAACUGACUGCAUUUAUUAUAGCCUGUCAAAAACACAGGCUAACAAAACAACAAUAGCAUAAGCAAAAUACCAGCAGAAAAGUGGCAUUAGUCUAUGCUACACAAGCACAUACCAUUAAAUUUUUUCCAGUCCCUGGUGGUCCAUAUAAGAACACUACAAAUUUGAGUUUCAUUGAGGCUGUAUUUUUCUAUUUUGUAUCAUUGUCAUUGAGGCUGUAUUUUUCUAUUACAUUAUAAGUUCAAUUUGAGUUGCUAUCUCAAGCUAUGGUUUAUAUAGUUAUUCAUACAUAGCAGUUGAGCACACAAAUUAGUGUUCAAAAUCAGAUUAAUUGUUGUAGUAGACUUUAAGAUUCUGCAAUAAAACAAAGGUACGAGAAAGAAAAAAAAUUAAGAAAUGAUAAAUAUCUUUCAUUCAUUUUUGUAAACUUUGACAAAUUUCAGAUUUGGAUUAAUCAAUGAUCUGAAAUUUACAUGAAUCACAUCAGUCAUCACAUUCCUAUUACUUUUAACCCAACACUUUGCCUAGUGCCUAUGCAAAUAUGUCAGGAUUGUGUAAAAGUGUUGGGCUUUUUUAAGUUAAAAGAAAAUGAAAAUGGAUAUCAUUCCAUCUAUACUAUUAACGAAUUCCCCCUUCCUUUAACCAAUUGAUUAACAGAGACAAAUUGAAGACCAUCUAUACUGUCAACAAAUUCCCCCUGCCUUUAACCAAUUGAAUGAUGAUAUCAAAGAAUCGACACAAAUUAGAAAGAUUAAUCAUGAUAAACAAGAAUUCAAGUAUCCUGACCGUGGGUAGGGGUAAGUGCCACACAAAUUUUACACGAUGAAACACAAUAAAAAAAACAAUUCAAUAAGAAGGUAACCUUUGUGGAGACGCAACUCGCCAGCACUUUGCUUCUUAACAUAUACUCCAUUGCUGGCGUUUUCAGCUUGUUCUCUUUUCUUUUCUUUUCUUUUCCUACAAGAACCGACAUCAACUAGCAUUAGAACAUUUCAUAUAACAGACAAAGAAAUUAUCCAAGCAAAAACAACAUCUACAACUUCCUUUCAAUAAGAACAACAAACAGACUAAAACAAAAACAACAAAACAAAAAAUACCAAUCAAGCCCGUCCCCAUCUAACAGCUUUGUAGCUUCUGCAAUCAAACAGAACCUUUUUCAGAAGCAACAAAUAUUACAAGCUUGAUAAAAAAAAAUAGCUAGGUUACACAUUAAACUUAACCCAGCUAAUCAAUAAUGAUAUAAAAGAAUCGACACAAAUUAGAAUGAUUAAUCACGAUAAACAAUAUUAAGAUCGCGUUUAGGUAAAAAAAAAAAUACUUAAUCACACAGAUUCAACAAAAAGCACUGCUAUCUAAUCGUAGAACUUCAACCUGUACGAAAAACCAAAGAAAUCACAGAUACUAGAUACUUCGUUUAAAUAUUAAUUAAACAAAAUAAAAUUUCAAUUAGAGACAGAUAUAGGUAAAUUAUGAAUUAGGGUGAGGUUGUUAAUUAGAAAAACAGAAACCCUAGCAAAGGAAAGGGCAAAGGGAUCGAUAAUUGAGAGAGAGUAAUAGCGUGAGAGAAAUUAAGGAGCGAACCUCACCUGGUUGAGAAGAUGAUAAAGAACUAAACAUGGUUGAUUUCACAGCUUAGCUCUGCUUUGAUUAUCAAUGCUGGCUGAGGUUGUGGGUGAGAGUGAAAUUGGGGAAGAGCAAAUGAAAUUGGAAAAUGAAAUAUGGGGAAUGCUUCAAUUGAGCCAUAGGUAGUAGAGAUUUAGGUUUUAAUUUGGGGGAAAGUUAGAUUGUGGAAUAAAAUUGGGUUUUAGGGUUUUUGAGCAAUGGGAGGGAGACUGAAAUCGGGAAAGCGGGAGUGAUAGAAUAUUUGGCCAAAAUAUUUAUUGUGAAAAGCGCUUGAAAAAAAAGUAUAAAAGCUGCGACCCUUAAUCCAAACAGUCGCAAAAGUGUGAUUUGUGACAGUUCUAAGCCAAGGGUCGCAAAGCAAAUGUCGCAAAAUGACAAAUUUCUUAUAGUGAGAAAAAAAAUGACGUUUUUGAAUCUUGCUGAACACAUUUCAUUUAGUCGAAACGAAUAACUUCUUAGUAUCAGCACCAAAAGGCAGUUGAAAAACCUUUUGUGAUGUCAUCAAAUCCCACUUAGUGGGCCAUGUUCCAAUAUUUGAGAACUACCAUUUUCUUCUUUUUUUUAUAAUCGUCAACCUAAGAUGUUGACACUUGUUGAAAAUCUGAGACUAUAAAAAGGUAUAAACCUUUUCUUCUUCACUUUUUCAGUUUUACUCAGACUUUAUACUUUCUUCUUCCUCUCCUCUAUCACGAAAUUUUAUCGCAUUUUCUCAAACCCUUAAAAUCUCCAUCAACAGAUGAUUCUUUCUGAAAAAAUCAUCCAUCAUUUUCUUAUCAUGACGAACAACAGCGAAAGUCCUUCACCAUCUCAGCCGGAGCGAGGGUUACAAAAUUUCUCCAUGCAACAUCAAUCUGGCAACGCUUGGUUCGCUAGCGAACUGGAAUUGAAAGAGAUAAAAGCUCAAAUAUGGAAAUCCCAGGAACUGAUUCCUUCUUCUGAUUCACGUAUGCAUAUUUAGGACCCAUUGAGAGAGAUGAUAGCGGAGAAACUAAAGAAUUAUUUCCCGAUGAUAAGACGGAUUCACCUCUUAUCUUUCCCAGAAACCAUGACGAGCCUUAUAACCUUAGUUAUUUAGAUACUAGGUUUUUUAGGUCAGCCCCGAGAAUCGAUAAAGUCAAAGAUUAUAUCGCAUGGCUCGAUAGGAUGGAAAAACAUAAAUGUAGUUUUUGGAAGGAUUUAGGCAUUUUUAACCUUAUUCAGCUGUCGAGACAAGGUCCUAGAUAACAUAAACAUAUGCUAUUGGCUGCACUCCAUUUUUGGAAUAGUUCCACCAGUAGUUUGCAUCUGAAGUGAGGCAUGCUUACGCCUACAUUGCUAGAUGUUGCAGCCAUUACUAGCCUAAAACCUACUGGUGAAACUUUCGACCUAAGCACUAGUGAGUCAGUCAUUAUAUCUUUGAUUUUGGUAAAGCCACUUGUGGUCACUAUAUUAGAGACCAUCACAAACCUGAUGACAAGGAAGUUUCAGAUGAUGAACCCAUAGCCUUUUUGACCUAUUGGUUAUCCCUGUACGUCUUUUGCACAAGAUCUAACCAGUUAGCAAAACACUAUAGAACCUUAGCCUACCAAUUACAUGAAGGAAAACAAGUUUGUCUUGGAAAACUUAUCUUAGGUUCUUUGUAUGAGUGUCUUAAUGAUGGAGCAGCUGACAUGAGAGACCAAGUUGAGAGUCUAAUUAUCCUUGACCCAAUCUGGCUACUCCAAUUGUGGCUGUUAACCACUUUAAAGUCAAAGCUAAUUGACACUGCCUUUCUUCCUGGGGACUUCAAAGCUAAUUGGCCUCGCAUUGUUUCGAUAUAAAGAAACCAAAACUAGCCAAAAGCUUUUUUCAGAAGCUUUUAAAGUCUUUAUGGAUUGUGACGUCUUCACAUCUUCUCUAGCUUCCUUUUCGACAAGGACAUCUGGGCCAGCAUGGUUCGUUAGGAAAUUUCCUGCCAAAAACGUCGAACACUAAGAAGAAACCAAUGUCGUUUGGAAAGCUUAUUUGACUCCUACUCUCCUCUCGUAGGACANNNNNNNNNNNNNNNNNNNNNNNNNNNNNNNNNNNNNNNNNNNNNNNNNNNNNNNNNNNNNNNNNNNNNNNNNNNNNNNNNNNNNNNNNNNNNNNNNNNNGGAUCCAAUACCACUAUAGAUUCCAAUGGUACAUUUGGCUAUCAGCCAAAUUUAGUGGCAAGGCAAUUCGGUUUAAUCCAAACCCAUCCCGGCUCAUUUUUCAAAGCUAAGAGAGACAUAAAGAGACCAAAGCCCGAACAACGAUGGGGGACAUAUCUUCCUAAAUUUAACGAAGUAGUUCCAGACUUCAAACCUGUCCAUUUCGAACUCUCAUAUGAAUGCACUAAAUCGUUCUUUAAAUUGUGGAGAGGAUACUUCGUUGACAAAAGAAAAAAGUGAACUUAGACAUUUUUCUUUCUGAGCUGAUCUCUGUUUUUAAUUUUCUGCAGACAAAAACAAAGAAACGAAAGGUAUGCACAUUCGAGAAAUUCAAGCUUUCCAAAAGUACUUUGAAACUGUAUAUGAUCCUUUACAUCUUAGUCGGACUGUUUAUUAUGCUGCUAAAACACUAAAAGAAAAACUUUUAGAAAGAAUUGCAACAUGUAAUUCCAAUAUCCAUUCUCUUACCAGAUUAAAAUCUAUUGAAGUCAAAGGUUGUGAGAAGUUGAAGCAUCUGUUUUGGUAUUCCCUCGUUAGUGACCUUCCUCAACUUCUUGAUAUAAAAAUUUCUAAUUGCAAAAUGAUUACAGAAAUAAUAGUUGUGCAAACAUCAGAAGCUAAUAAAGAGAUCAACAAGAUUCUGUCCCCCAAGUUGCGUUCUCUUGAACUUGAACGUUUGCCGAGACUCAUUAGUUUCUGUUCUGUGCCUUUGACAGCUGCACAAUGCACACCGUUGGCACUAAUUGAUGAAAAGGUAAGAACACGAUUUUACUGACGGUGCAGUAUUUUUGUUUCAUCAAAUCCCAUAUCUUUCCAUUAUCUCACCAUCUCACUUUAUCUUGGUUUUUCUCUCAACAUAAAUGACUGUUACAAAUGAGAUCUUGCUGAGAAUUUUUUUUGUUAAUAGGUUGGAAUGCCCCACCUUGAACUCUUCAAGCUGUCUAAUAUCACCUCUAGGAGAUUGUAGGAUAACAACUUUCCAGGUCAUUCUUGCAUUCAAAACUUGAGGAGUUUGACGAUUGACAAAUGUGGUAGCAUAGCUUACACAUUUUCGUCCUCAGUUGCUAGAGAACUUGUAAACCUGCAAUAUCUUGGCAUUAAUAAUUGCCUGAUGUUGGAAGAGAUAUUUGUCUCCGAUGGAAAUUUGGGCAAUCUAACUUCAACUCAGAAACCAUUUUCUGAUGAUGAGGUGAGCACUAUCUCUAAUUCUGUAAUUGUUAAUAACUAUAGUAUGAUUUCCUUUUUAGGUCUGCUGCUUGUGCAAUUAACCAUUAAAAAUAUAAGCAUAUUCCUGAUUGUAGGUUAUAUUUCCAAACUUGGAGACAUUGGAAAUCUCCAACUUGAAACACAUGAAGUCAGUUUGGCCCAAUCAACUAGCUCCAAAUUCGUUCUGCAAACUAAAGCAGUUGAAAAUUGAAUCCUGCCAUAAGUUAUCAAAUGUAUUUCCAUCUUUUGUGCUUGACUAUAAGUGAUUGUCCUGUACUGGAAGUAGUAUUUGAAGCUGAUGACAGUCCGUCAUUCGCUAUUUCUAGAGUCUUUUUUAUAUGUAUUUUGAUCACAAAUUGGAGUUCACAAGGCAACUUAUGCAGCAAAAGAGUAGAAAACUGAAGAAAAUACAAAGAAGAGAAUCGUGCCACGAUUUGGUAAAAACGUGACACGAUUUUAGAAAACCAAAAUCAAGCUUCGACAUUGAAGAAAUCGUGUCACGAUGGCAUAAUCGUGGCACGAUUUGAGGAAACCCUAAUUCAGUGAUUUGGGAUUCAAGGAGAAUCGUGCCACGAUUUUAGGCGAAAUUCUGUGCCUAUUUAAGCUGAAGACUAUUCUGAAAACAAGGGUUACGAUUUGGAGAGAGCNNNNNNNNNNNNNNNNNNNNNNNNNNNNNNNNNNNNNNNNNNNNNNNNNNNNNNNNNNNNNNNNNNNNNNNNNNNNNNNNNNNNNNNNNNNNNNNNNNNNNNNNNNNNNNNNNNNNNNNNNNNNNNNNNNNNNNNNNNNNNNNNNNNNNNNNNNNNNNNNNNNNNNNNNNNNNNNNNNNNNNNNNNNNNNNNNNNNNNNNNNNNNNNNNNNNNNNNNNNNNNNNNNNNNNNNNNNNNNNNNNNNNNNNNNNNNNNNNNNNNNNNNNNNNNNNNNNNNNNNNNNNNNNNNNNNNNNNNNNNNNNNNNNNNNNNNNNNNNNNNNNNNNNNNNNNNNNNNNNNNNNNNNNNNNNNNNNNNNNNNNNNNNNNNNNNNNNNNNNNNNNNNNNNNNNNNNNNNNNNNNNNNNNNNNNNNNNNNNNNNNNNNNNNNNNNNNNNNNNNNNNNNNNNNNNNNNNNNNNNNNNNNNNNNNNNNNNNNNNNNNNNNNNNNNNNNNNNNNNNNNNNNNNNNNNNNNNNNNNNNNNNNNNNNNNNNNNNNNNNNNNNNNNNNNNNNNNNNNNNNNNNNNNNNNNNNNNNNNNNNNNNNNNNNNNNNNNNNNNNNNNNNNNNNNNNNNNNNNNNNNNNNNNNNNNNNNNNNNNNNNNNNNNNNNNNNNNNNNNNNNNNNNNNNNNNNNNNNNNNNNNNNNNNNNNNNNNNNNNNNNNNNNNNNNNNNNNNNNNNNNNNNNNNNNNNNNNNNNNNNNNNNNNNNNNNNNNNNNNNNNNNNNNNNNNNNNNNNNNNNNNNNNNNNNNNNNNNNNNNNNNNNNNNNNNNNNNNNNNNNNNNNNNNNNNNNNNNNNNNNNNNNNNNNNNNNNNNNNNNNNNNNNNNNNNNNNNNNNNNNNNNNNNNNNNNNNNNNNNNNNNNNNNNNNNNNNNNNNNNNNNNNNNNNNNNNNNNNNNNNNNNNNNNNNNNNNNNNNNNNNNNNNNNNNNNNNNNNNNNNNNNNNNNNNNNNNNNNNNNNNNNNNNNNNNNNNNNNNNNNNNNNNNNNNNNNNNNNNNNNNNNNNNNNNNNNNNNNNNNNNNNNNNNNNNNNNNNNNNNNNNNNNNNNNNNNNNNNNNNNNNNNNNNNNNNNNNNNNNNNNNNNNNNNNNNNNNNNNNNNNNNNNNNNNNNNNNNNNNNNNNNNNNNNNNNNNNNNNNNNNNNNNNNNNNNNNNNNNNNNNNNNNNNNNNNNNNNNNNNNNNNNNNNNNNNNNNNNNNNNNNNNNNNNNNNNNNNNNNNNNNNNNNNNNNNNNNNNNNNNNNNNNNNNNNNNNNNNNNNNNNNNNNNNNNNNNNNNNNNNNNNNNNNNNNNNNNNNNNNNNNNNNNNNNNNNNNNNNNNNNNNNNNNNNNNNNNNNNNNNNNNNNNNNNNNNNNNNNNNNNNNNNNNNNNNNNNNNNNNNNNNNNNNNNNNNNNNNNNNNNNNNNNNNNNNNNNNNNNNNNNNNNNNNNNNNNNNNNNNNNNNNNNNNNNNNNNNNNNNNNNNNNNNNNNNNNNNNNNNNNNNNNNNNNNNNNNNNNNNNNNNNNNNNNNNNNNNNNNNNNNNNNNNNNNNNNNNNNNNNNNNNNNNNNNNNNNNNNNNNNNNNNNNNNNNNNNNNNNNNNNNNNNNNNNNNNNNNNNNNNNNNNNNNNNNNNNNNNNNNNNNNNNNNNNNNNNNNNNNNNNNNNNNNNNNNNNNNNNNNNNNNNNNNNNNNNNNNNNNNNNNNNNNNNNNNNNNNNNNNNNNNNNNNNNNNNNNNNNNNNNNNNNNNNNNNNNNNNNNNNNNNNNNNNNNNNNNNNNNNNNNNNNNNNNNNNNNNNNNNNNNNNNNNNNNNNNNNNNNNNNNNNNNNNNNNNNNNNNNNNNNNNNNNNNNNNNNNNNNNNNNNNNNNNNNNNNNNNNNNNNNNNNNNNNNNNNNNNNNNNNNNNNNNNNNNNNNNNNNNNNNNNNNNNNNNNNNNNNNNNNNNNNNNNNNNNNNNNNNNNNNNNNNNNNNNNNNNNNNNNNNNNNNNNNNNNNNNNNNNNNNNNNNNNNNNNNNNNNNNNNNNNNNUUGUUUUUCUGAGUUAGGCAUUGUAGAAUGUUGCUAAAUAUUAAGUUUGGGGUUGCUAUUGGAAUUUGCAACCAAUUAAGUUUGGGGUGGGGAUACUAGAGAACAAGAAAAAAAAAAAAAAAAAAACAUUCUCAUGAAAACAAUAUGCCAAAAUGGUGUAUUAGAAAAAAAAAAAAUGGAAUGGAAAAGGGACAAAACAUUGAAAAAUCAAGUAACUUCAAGCUCGAUUGUUUCAAUUAUUUUAAAUAAUCUCUAGUAUCCUUGCAAGAAUUGUUGUUCUAAAAGGUGAAUUUUGUUUUAAAAUAUCUAUCAGAAGCGCAAGGUCUAAAAGCAGACGGGAGUAGACAGAUGAGGCUGGAUAUGAAAUUGAGAACUCUCACUUUGAAAAAUUUACCAUCGCUGAAACAUAUAUGGAAUGGGAAUCCUAAUGAAAGCUAUUGAGCUAGGAGAACUCUCACUUUGAAAAACUUACCAUCGCUGAAACAUAUAUGGAAUGGGAAUCCUAAUGAAAGCUAUUGAGCUAGUAAAUAAAUGCACAUAUUAUGCCUAAAAUUGUGCAUACGUUAGCUGUUAUUUUGCUUUUUACGUUACUACUAAUUAAUGGCAAUUGUUACAUUGUAACAAAUAUAUAUAUAUGCUUUUUCAUUAUACUGUGUUGACAUUCAGAAAUAAUUCAAUUAUUGGAAACCUAAUUGGUUAUCCCUUUUUCAUCUUUUACUUAUUCUCAUAUGGUAUCAUAGAGCCGUGAGAUCCAUGGCACCUCGCAACAUCCAUCAAGUCCUUAUUAUGUCCAUCUAAGCGAUGGUCCUACCUCAGUUUCAAUUACUCCCCUACUUACUGGUUCCAAUUACCAUAGUUGGGCUCGGUCUAUGCAUAGGGCUUUGGGUGGAAAAAUGAAAUAUGAUUUCGUUGAUGGUUCUAUUCCGGUUCCUACAGAUCCAUUCGAUCCAACAUUUCGUGCUUGGACGCGUUGCAAUAUGCUCGUUCACUCAUGGAUCAUGAAUUCUGUCGCGGAAUCAAUUGGCCAAUCCAUUGUAUUUAUGGAAAAUGCGGUCGAUGUUUGGAAUGAUUUGAAAGAACGUUUCUCUCAAGGUGAUUUAGUUUGCGUAUCAGAACUGCAACAAGAAAUUUAUGCUCUCAAGCAGGAGCAUCGAACGGUAACUAAAUUUUUCUCUGAUCUUAAGAUUUUGUGGGAAGAACUAGAAAUGUAUAUGCCAAUACCUACAUGUACCUGUCGUGUCCGUUGCUCUUGUGAAGCUAUGCGUACUGUUAGAUAUAAUCAUAAUUUACUCUAUGUGAUUCGUUUUUUGACUGGUCUUAAUGAAGAAUUCAGCGCUGUUAAGUCACAAAUUCUGCUAUUAGAUCCUUUACCUAGCUUGAAUAAAAUUUUCUCAGUGGUUAUAUAUUCAGCAUGAACGUCAAAUUGUUCCACAUGUUUCAGUUAAUGAUGACUCUAAAGUCCUUGUUAAUGCUGCUGAAAAUAGGAGAUCAAAUUUUAGAAAUAAUAAGACUGGUUCAAAACCUGGAGAGAGAGUUUGUACUUUCUGUAACAAAUCAAAUCAUACUAUUGAUACCUGUUAUCGCAAGCAUGGAGUACCACCUCAUUUACAGAAGAAAGGUUCAAACUAUGCAGCUCAUAAUGUUAAUGCAGAAACUUCUGCACCUCCAGCCCUUACACAUGAGCAGUAUAAUACUCUUGUGUCUCUACUUCAGGCUUCUAGCAUUAGUAAACAAUCUACUGCACAUGCUUCUAAUCAGGUGAACUCAUUCCAAUCAACUGAUCAUCCAUCAGUCGAUGACAAAGGUAAUAUUUCUGUUAUUUCUAUUUUUUCUUCUUGUGUUAAUAACACAACUCUUGGUUCUUGGAUCAUUGAUUCAGGAGCUAAUGAUCAUAUUUGUGUUUCAUCCCAUUGGUUUCAUUCUUUUCAUGAUAUUAGUCCUAUUUUUAUUAGAUUACCUAAUGGUAAUUUUGCUGUAGCAAAACAAAUUGGCACAAUUUAUUUUUCUCAAAGUUUUUUCUUAACAAAUGUUCUUUAUGUUCCUAAUUUUUCUUUGAAUCUAGUUUCAGUUGCCAAACUCUAUUCUGAUUUACCUUGUCUUGUUAGUUUCACUAAUUCACAAUGUCUUGUUCAGGAUCCUCAGUCAUUGAAGACGAUUGGUUCUGCUGAACUCAUUGAAGGAUUGUAUCACGUGGUUCUACCAGAUAAGAUUCGGAAUGUAUAUGCUGCCCCUUGCAACUCUGCUGUCAUCAUACCAGAAAAUGCAUUAUGGCAUUUUAGACUAGGCCACCUCUCUAAUUCUAGAAUGACUUUGCUACAUUCUGAUUUUCCUUUUAUUGUUAUAGAUCAAAAAGGAGUUUGUGAUGUAUGCCAUUUGGCAAAACAUAAAAAAUUACCAUAUCAAAGGAGUUUUAAUAAAGCCAUGAAACCUUUUGAUCUAAUUCACUUUGAUAUAUGGGGUCCUCUUGCUAUUAAAUCUGUUCAUGGUUUUUCUUAUUUUCUUACUGUUGUUGAUGACUUCAGUAGAUAUACUUGGGUUACUCUUAUGAGAUCUAAGGCUGAAGUUAGUCAACAUGUCAUGAAUUUUGUCCAGCUAAUUGAAACACAACAUAACACCCUUGUUAAAACCAUAAGAACUGAUAAUGGCCCAUAAUUUUUUAUUUCUUCUUCUAUUCUUCCAAAGGAAUUAUUCAUCAAAAGAGUUGUGUAGAAUCUCCACAACAAAAUGGAAGAGUAGAAAGAAAACAUCAACAUAUACUAAAUGUAGCCAGGGCUUUGUUGUUUCAUUCAAAUUUACCAAAACAAUUUAGGUGUUAUGCUGUGUCACAUGCUGUUUUUAUCAUAAACCGUGUCUCUAGUCCUCUUCUUGAUAAUAAAUCACCAUUUUUUUUUUAUGCAUGAUAAACUACCUGAUUUGAAAAUUUUAAAAGUGUUUGGCUCUUUAGCUUAUGCAUCUACUUUACAUUCACAUAGAACUAAAUUGGAUCCCAGAGGUAGAAAAUGUGUGUUCCUAGGUUUUAAAAGUGGAAUGAAAGGAUCUAUACUUUUUGAUCUAAACAAUAAGGAAAUAUUUGUUUCUAGAAAUACCACACACCUUGAACAUAUUUUGCCAUAUAAUCCAAUUUCAAAACCUUCCAAUUGGAAAUAUCAUUCUCAUGGUAGAACACUCGGUGAUGAUAUUCCAAUUAUUCAUCCCCCUAAUGACACUAUAUCAAAUAACACAAAACCACCGGAUUCUGUUCCAUUAUCAUCUACACUAGAACAUAACCUUACAAAUUCAACCAUACCGGAACCUGAAUCUUUCACCCCUGUACCAAGAAUACCAAAUCAAAAUCCACAACCAUCACCUCAUCAACCUAUUAGGCAAAGGCAUCCACCAUCUUAUCUUGCAGAUUAUGUGUGCAAUGAUUCAGAUGGUUCAACAAAAUCAAAGUCUUCAGGUACUCCUUACCCUAUCACCUCUUAUCAUUCUUUUUCACAAUUAUCACCUUCACAUCAAGAUUUUUCUUCUUCUAUCACACACUGCACAGAGCCAAAAUCCUUUAAAGAAGCAAGUCAGUAUGAUUGUUGGCAAAUAGCUAUGAAAUCUGAAUUAGAUGCAUUGGAUAAAAAUGGCACUUGGAUUCUAGUAGAUUUGCCACCUCAUGUGAAGCCUAUUGGUAGUAAGUGGGUAUACAAAGUUAAACAUAGGGCAGAUGGCUCUAUUGAAAGGUAUAAAGCACGAUUGGUUGCGAAAGGGUAUAAUCAGAUUAAAGGUCUUGAUUUUUUUGAUACCUUUUCACCUGUUGCAAAACUCACUACAGUUAGAACAUUACUUGCUCUUGCUUCAAUUCAUUCUUGGCAUUUACAUCAAUUAGAUGUAAAUAAUGCGUUUUUGCAUGGAGAAUUACAAGAAGAAGUUUAUAUGACUAUUCCAGAAGGUGUUUUAUGUACCAAACCUAAUCAAGUUUGUAAACUUCUUAAAAGUCUCUACGGUCUUAAACAAGCAAGCAGGAAAUGGUAUGAAAAAUUGACAUCUUUGUUAGUGAAGGAAGGAUAUCAACAAUCUACAUCUGAUUACUCACUUUUCACAUUGAAAAAUGGUCAUGAAUUUACUGCCUUGUUGAUUUAUGUUGAUGAUGUGAUCUUAGCAGGAACUUCUCUCGAUGAAUUUAAAAGGAUCAAACAUAUUCUUGAUUGUAAUUUCAAGAUAAAGGAUCUAGGAAUUCUUAAAUAUUUCCUAGGCCUCGAAGUGGCUCAUUCCAAAAUUGGGAUCACUAUUUCACAAAGGAAAUAUUGUUUGGAUUUAUUGAAUGAUUCAGGUUUAUUGGGAUCCAAACCAGUCGGUAGUCCUCUUGAUCCUUCCAUUAAAUUACAUCAAGAUGAUGGUAAGCCUUAUGAUGAUACUGCCGCAUAUAGGAGAUUAAUUGGUAGGUUGUUAUAUUUGAAUACUACUCGACCAGAUAUCACAUUUGCAACUCAACAACUAAGUCAAUUUCUUCAUGCUCCAACCAUGACACAUUAUAAUGCUGCUUGUAGAGUUGUGAGAUAUUUGAAGCAUAAUCCUCGAAGAGGCCUUUUAUUUCCUAGAAAUUCUGAGGUGCAGAUUUUGGGGUAUUCAGAUUCUGACUGGGCUGGUUGUAUUGAUUCUAGAAAAUAAAUUUCAGGAUAUUGUUUUUUUAUUGGUUCUUCCUUGAUAUCUUGGCGUGCUAAGAAACAACAAACUGUAUCGAGGUCUUCUUCUGAAGCUGAGUACAGAGCUCUUUCUACAGCAACAUGUGAAUUAUAAUGGUUGCUUCACUUGUUCAAAGAUUUGCAUGUUAUCUCCACACGACAGCCUGUGCUAUAUUGUGAUAGCCAAAGCGCUCUUCAUAUUGCUUCCAAUCCUGUGUUUCGUGAGAGAACAAAGCACCUUGAAAUAGAUUGUCAUCUAGUAAGGGAAAAGGUUCAAGAUGGUACUCUUAGACUUUUACGAAUUUCAUCACAAGAGCAGUUAGCAGAUUUUCUCACAAAGGCUUUGGCCCCUCCAAAAUUCAACUCAUUUAUAUCCAAGCUUAGCAUGAUAGACAUCUAUAAUGCUUCAGCUUGAGGGAGGGGAUAUUGAGCUAGUAAAUAAAUGCACAUUGUUGGAAAUCUCGCCCCGAACGUGAGGGGGUGGGUUAGUAAUUCCAUCUUAAUUGUGAUCUGACCCGAGUUGCCUUAUGUUGGCUUGCCUUUGAGGGGGUGGAUUUAGUCCCACAUCGGUUAUAUUGGAAGUUUGAUCAGAGUUUAUAAAGAGGAGGCACUCCUCACCUUACAAGCCGGUUUUGUAAGGAUAAGUUAGGCCCCAAACUCGGCUUCUGCUCUAAGCUCUAUGGAAACUGGAAUAGGUAAGCCUUACAUGUUUUUGCCUUCUGCAAAGGAUGUGUGGGAAGCUGUUAAGGAAACAUACUCUGAUAUCCAAAAUUCUUCCCAAAUUUUUGGCUUAAAAUCAAAGCUAUGGCAUGCUAAACAAGGUGACAGGAGUGUAACUACUUAUUACAAUGAGUUGCUGACCCUGUGGCAAGAGUUGGAUCUCUGUUAUGAUGACAAUUGGAGGUGUAUAGAAGAUAGUGUUCUGUUUCUCAAGAGGCAAGAAAAUGACCGUGUCUUCAUGUUUCUUGCUGGGCUGAAUAAAGAUCUUGAUGAGGUAAGAGGUUGAGUUUUGGGAAAAAUACCAUUGCCAACUCUUCGUGAGACUUUUGCAGAAAUAAGAAGGGAGGAGGCACGGCAAGGAAUUAUGAUGGGCAAGACACCACGAAGCUUUGAUUCUGAAGGCUCGGCUCUGGCUACUAGGAACCUCGAUGAGUAAAAAAGGUCGGACAAAGUAAUUCCUUAUUGUGAUCAUUGCAAGCGUGAAUGGCAUACGCUUGAAACUUGUUGGAAGCUCAAGGGAAAACCUCCUAACUGGAAGAAGAAAGGUAGUCGUGCAUUUCAGGCUAGUAAUCUUGAUCAAGGGCAGCAAUCCUCUUCGACUCAGCUUCCACUCACUACGGAACAACUAGACAAACUUUUCAAACUCCUCGAGUCUCCAACCCCUUCUUGCUCUAUAGCAACAAAAGGUAAUUCUGCCUUUCUUAGUGUCAGUCCCAAUCAUACUUGGAUAGUAGAUUCAGGUGCCUCUCAUCACAUGACAGGUGAAUCCACUUUGUUGUCCUCAUAUAGUCCAUGUGUAGGUAAUCAAAAAAUAAAAAUCGCAGAUGGCUCUUUUUCAGCCAUUGCAGGUAAAGGGUCAGUUGUGUUGUCUCCACUGUUAACCCUUAAAGAUGUCUUUCAUGUUCCAAACUUGUCAUGUAAUUUACUAUCUGUCAGUAAAUUAGCUGAAGAUAUUAAUUGUCAAACUAUUUUUUUCCGAUCUCAUUGUGUCUUUCAGGAUUUGAACUCGGGGAAGAUGAUUGGCAGUGCUAAGAAGAGUGGAGGACUCUACUACCUUGACAUUGGAUCUGCAUCACAACUACCUUCAAAAAUAAUAAGUUCCUGCUUUGAGUCUUUUUUUGUUUUGAAUAAUAAUGAUGACAACGUUAUAUUAUGGCAUUUACGAUUAGGUCAUCCUAGUUUUCGUUACUUAAAACACUUAUUUCCUAAGUUAUUUCAUAAUAAGAAUUUUUCUUUGCUUAAAUGUGAAGCAUGUGAGUUUGCAAAGCAUCAUCGUUCCCAAUUUCCUAUACAGCCUUAUAAACCAUCAAAACCUUUUUCUCUUAUUCAUAGUGAUGUUUGGGGCCCUAACCGUACAAGUACACUUUCUCUCAAAAAAUGGUUUAUCACAUUUAUCGAUGACCAUUCAAGAGUAUGUUGGGUGUACUUGUUAAAGGGGAAAUCAGAUGUUUGUCUGGCUGUUAAGGAUUUUAUUACAAUGGUGCAAAACCAAUUUCGAACAAAUAUUCAAGUCUUUAGAAGUGAUAAUGGCAAAGAAUAUUUUAACACUGUUCUGGAUGAUUUUUUUCUUAAAAAUGGGAUUGUACAUCAAAGUUCAUGUCCUAAUACUCCUCAACAAAAUGGAGUUGCCGAAAGAAAAAAUAGACACUUAUUGGAGGUUGCUAGAGCUUUACUUUUCUCAGGUAAAGUUCCAAACUAUUUGUGGGGUGAAGCUGUUUUGACAGCUGCAUAUUUAAUUAACAGAAUGCCUUCCAAAGUUCUCAAUUUUCAAACUCCAAUUAAUACUUUUAAAGAAUGUUUUCCUAGUACUCGUAUUUCAACUUAUUUGACAUUAAAAAUCUUUUGUUGCACAGCCUUUGUUCAUGAACAUAAAAAUAUUGGAAAACUUGAACCAUGUGCUAUAAAAUGUGUUUUUGUUGGAUACUCCCCAACCCAGAAGGGAUAUAAAUGUUUUGAUCCAAAAAACAAGAAAAUGUUUGUCACUAUGGACGUUACAUUCUUUGAAAACAAACCUUUUUUUGAUGACACUCAUCUUCAAGGGGGGAUAUAAAGGAAGACUCGUUUCAAACUGAGGACAUGAAUUUUUCAAAUAAUUUGUCUUUGCCUGUACCACAAAGUUCUAAGACUUAUACUUUUGCACCAACAGAAAAUGGCCAUGAUUCUUUAUCUGAUCCUACUCCUGUUAUGGGUACGGAAGUUGGUGAAUCUCAGCCUACAUUUUCUCAUGUGGAAAACAAUGAGAAUCUUGAAAAUGAUGAUAGUGAUGAUCUAAUCGAAAUGCCACAAGAUAAUGAGUCACUUAAAGAUAGAUUUGAACUAGGAAACAAGAUUUUGAAAGGGAAGGUUUUUGUGAAGAAGCACCACAAAGAAAGGGAUGAGUCCACAUCUCAACACUGCCAUGAAUCUGAACCAGGUAAUGAUCAACCUCCUAAGAAAAGGAAAGGUAAGUCUAUCUCUGAGAGUCGUAUUUUGUAUCCGGAUAUAGAUGAUCCUGUUGCCAUUAGAAAACCUGUUAGAUCUUGCACUAAACACCCUAUGUCCAAUUUUAUAUCAUACUCAAAUUUGUCUUCAUCUUUGUCAGCCUUCAACUCAAAAUUGUCCAGUGUAGAAAUUCCAAAAAGUGUACAGGUUGCUCUAGAAAUUCCAAAGUGGAGGAAAGCUGUACUUGUGGAGAUGAAAGCUCUUGAAAAGAACAAAACUUGGAAUGUCACGACACUACCAGAUGGCAAGAAGACGGUCGGAUGCAAAUGGGUGUUUAAUGUGAAGUAUAAUUCAGAUGGGUCGAUUGAAAGGUACAAGGCUUGCCUAGUGGCUAAGGGCUUUACUCAAACCUAUGGUAUAGACUACUCUGAGACAUUUGCUCCUGUUGCAAAAUUGAACACCGCCAGAAUUCUCUUAUCUCUAGCUGCUAACCUGGAUUGGCCUCUACACCAGUUGGAUGUUAAGAAUGCCUUUCUCAAUGGCGAUCUAGAAGAAGAAGUAUAUAUGGACAUACCUCCUGGUUUUAAAAACAAAUUUGGAUCAAAUGUAUGCAAACUAAAUAAGUCUUUGUAUGGAUUAAAGCAGUAUCCUAGAGCUUGGUUUGAAAAAUUCACUCAGUCCAUGAAGAAACAAGGGUACAUUCAAGGACAAGCUGAUCACACCUUGUUCACAAAGUUCUCCAAUGAUGGAAAAUUCGAUGUCCUGAUUGUUUACGUUGAUGAUAUUGUCCUUACUGGAGAUGAUACGGUUGAAAUGGAAAGAGUAAAAGAGAAAUUAGCACUAGACUUUGAAAUCAAGGACUUGGGAUCCAUGAGAUAUUUUCUUGGUAUGGAGGUUGCUCGAUCAAAGAAUGGUAUUGUGGUUUCACAGCAGAAAUACAUUCUAGACUUAUUGAAAGAAACAGGAAUGAGUGGAUGUCGUCCGGCUGAUACCCCUAUGGAUCCUAAUGCUAAACUUUGGGGAGAAGGUAGUGUUCCUGUUGAUACUGGAAGGUACCAGAGAUUGGUUGGGAAAUUGAUUUAUUUGUCACACACCAGACCUGAUAUUGCUUUUUCAGUUAGUGUAGUAAGUCAGUUCAUGCAUUCUCCUUUCGAGGAACAUCUUGAGGCAGCAUAUAGGAUAUUGAGAUAUUUGAAGGGAAAUCCCGGAAAAGGCUUACUUUUUAAGAAGACUAGUGAAAGAAAUGUGUCUAUCUUCACCGAUGCUGAUUGGGCAGGUUCAGUCACAGACAGAAGAUCAACCUCUGGAUAUUGUACCUAUGUUUGGGGUAAUCUUGCAACAUGGUAUCAGAGCCUAUCCAAGAUCUACCGUUGUCGGGAUUCCGCAUUGCCACGCUUCAUGCCCAUUGGGUCUGAGCGUGAGGGGGGAUGUUGGAAAUCCCGCCCCGAAUGUGAGGGGGUGGGUUAGUAAUUCCAUCUUAAUUGCGAUCUGCCCCAAGUCGCCUUAUGUUGGCUUACCUUUGAGGGGGUGGAUUUAGUCCCACAGCGGUUAGAUUGGAAGUUUGAUCAGAGUUUAUAAAGAGGAGGCACUCCUUACCUUACAAGCCGGUUUUGUAAGGAUGAGUUAGGCCCCAAAAUUUCAACACACAUAUUAUGCCUAGUAUUGUGCAUGCGUUAGCUGUUAUUUUGCUUUUUACGUUACCACUAAUUAAUGGCAAUUGUUACAUUGUAACAAAUAUAUAUAUGCCUUUUUCAUUAUACUGUGUUUUACAUUCAAAAAUAAUUCAAUUAUUGGAAUUAUCCCUUUUUCAUCUUUUACUUAUUCUCAUAAAAGCUUCAACUUUCAAAACCUCUGCCUCUUGAAAGUUACUGAAUGCGAAAGCCUUAACCAUGUUUUUCCUCUCUCUCUGUGGCUAAAGAGCUUCAACAUCUCCAAGGGAUUCAUAUAGAAAAAUGUGGCGUAGAGAUUAUUGUGGCUCAUGAUGAAAUAGCUGACACAAUUCCAAUUUUUAUUUUCCCAAAAUUAACGUCUCUAUGUUUUCGAGAAUUGUCACAACUUCGAAGCUUCUACCGUGUAUCACAUACCUUGGAUUGUCCUUUAUUAAGUGAUGUGGAUGUGUUUCAUUGUGACAAGCUCCAACUAUUCAAGCCUGAGUCUCUAAAUAACCAAGCCACUGUCCUAGUUGACACACUACCCCUCCUCUCAAUCGAAAAGGUACAAUUUACAUCUCAAUUUACAUAUCAAUAUGCUCAUUUUGUUGCUGCUACACAUAAAACGUCAUUUUUAAAGGUGUCUUGCAGCAUGUUCUUUUUUUGUUGGAAAAGUAUACAGAAUUGAGUUCUUUUAUAGGUGUGUUUCACCAUGUUUAAUUACAUGCAUAAAAGUUUAUAUAAGUAUGUGUGGAAUAUGGAAAUAAUUUUCUACAGAUAAUUUCAAAACAUGAAUAUAGUACAAAUGAUCAUGUGCUUAAAUAGACCACAAAUGGCGGCCACUAAUAUACUUAACAAUGACAAAUAAACAAAACAGCUGAAUGAGAGAACAAACAAUGGGCAUCAGGAAUACCCAAAAUAUCUCAAACUGUGAUUCUAACCCCCAAAAAGACAGAGAGGCUACCGAUGUAGUCCUUCGCUGGAAAUCUUUUGGGAGUGCAUGAAGGCGCGUCUAGUGUCUUUUGGCCACAAUCUUUCGGGAGCUAGCCAGCUUUGGGCCUGCUAUCAGCCGAUCCUAAUGGCAGGGCCGAGGAUGCUGGAUUUGCGAUAGAAAGUGGAGAAAGAAAGGCGUGAAGGUGCUGUUUGCUUGUGAACUAGUAUGAAGUUGGUCAAAGGCAGUAUUUGAUUGCUGUUUGGUUGUUAAUAGGGGUGAAAGCAUUCCAAUGAAUCCUUUUGUUCUAUUUGUCUCUAAACAACAAAAUGCAGAAAAUAGUACUGAGUUACUAAUCCGAUUUAUGAAGUUACAUACUUGGUACUAUGAGUCUACAACAUUAUAUUUUCAUUUAUUAUCUUUAUUAAUAUAGCACCUCUAAGAAGACUCUCCCAUUCUUUUAUGUCAACACAUUUAUGCAUCCAAUAUUUUUUACUACUACUACUCUUGUGCCAUUUGAGUUGCAAUAUAAUAAUAUAGCCGCUACAAAUUAGGUGGCAUUUCACGUGGGAAAAGUUAAUCCUUUCCCAUCAUGGAAAAGUUGGAUUCAAUGAUUAGAUUAAGUGAAGAACAUAUUCUUAACAUACUCUUUCAACAUUAGAUUUUUCUUCACAUUAUCUUCCAACAAUUUAAAAAUUCUGAAAAUUAAUUUUCAGAAAUUAAAAAAAUCGAGAAAAUAUAAAAAAAUUUAGAUAAUUUUUUUUUUAAAUUCUGUAAUUCAUUUAUUGAAUGUUAGAAUUUUUUUUUAUUUCAAUAAAAAUAAAAUUUUGGAAACUAAGAAUAGUUUUUAUUUUUCUAAGUGAAGAUUAUAUUUUUUUUUAAUUUCAUAAUAAAAUAAGAUAUUCUGAAAAAUAAAAUAAAAAUCCUAAAAAAUAUAUUUUGAAAUUAAAGUUUUUUAUUUUUCUAAGAAAAUAAAAUUCUUGAAAAUAAGGUUUUUGAAAAUAUUUUGAAAUAAAAUUCUGAUUAUUUUUUUUCAUUUUUUCAAAAAAAUAAAAUUCUAACAUUCAAUAAAUGAAUUAUAGAAUUUAAAAAAAAAAUUAUCUGAAUUUUUUAUAUUUUUUUGAUUUUUUUAAUUUCUGAAAAUUAAUUUUCAGAAUUUUAAAUUGUUGGAAAACACAUUAACAUUAACAUAGAUAAUGCAAAACACAUUAACAUAGAUAAUAAGAAUGACUAUUAAUGUUAUUUUUUUUCGUAGAAAUUCUACUCAAGGUUUUAUAAUAAAAUAGAUAAUGAGAAUGAGUAUUAAUAUUUUUUCUUCUUUCCGAAACCCAUAAAGAUAUGAAAUUCCACCACGCCAGAAACAUCCACCAACAAAUCACCAACCUUACUCAAAACCAAACCAACAUUGCAAACGGUAGCAAAUUUAUCACUGAAUGCAACGUUAAGAUUUCAGAAAAUGGACGAAACGGUAACGUUAAUGCAGCAGAAACAAUAUUCAACAAAAUGUCCCAAAAGAACAUUGUCACUUGGACAGCCAUGCUCGUUGUCUAUGCUAAAAAUGGUCAAAUCAUAAAUGCCCGUAAGCUGUUCGAUAAAAUGCCUGAACGAACAACGGCUACUUAUAAUGCCAUGAUCUCCGGUUAUAUUCGUAAUGGUUGCAAUGUUACUAAAGCUUACGAGCUUUUUACAUCGUUUAAUGAGAGAAAUGCGGUGUCUUAUGCUGCUAUGAUCAUGGGUUAAGUUAAGGCUAGGAAGUUCCAUUUGGCGGAAGAGCUUUACCGUGAAGUUCCGUGUGAGUUUCGUGACCCGGUUUGUUCCAAUGCUUUGAUGAAUGGGUAUUUGAAAAUAGGCGAAACAAAUGAAGCGUUGAGGGUUUUUGAGAAUGUGGGUGAGAGUAAGAGGGAUGUUGUUUCGUGGAGUGCUGUGGUUGUUGGUUUGUGUAGAGAUGGGAGGAUUGGUUAUGCUAGGAAGUUGUUUGACAGAAUGCCUGAGAGAAAUGUGGUUUCUUGGAGUGCGAUGAUUGAUGGGUAUAUGGAGAAAGGCUUGUUUGAAAAUGGGUUUGGUUUUUUUUUGGAAAUGAGGAGGGAAGGUGUUGUUGAGGUUAAUUCAACUACCAUGACUAUAAUGAUUAAAGGGUGUGGAAAUUGUGGUGGUGUGAAAGACGGAAUGCAGAUUCAUGGGUUGGUUUCAAGGUUGGGAUUUGAGUUUGGUAGUGUUUUGAGUAAUACUAUUAUUACUAUGUAUUCUUUGUUUGGUUGCACUGACAUGGCAAAAAAAGUGUUUUGAGCUAUGGGUAAUAAAGAUUUAGUUACUUGGAAUUCUUUGAUUUCUGGAUAUAUUUAUAACAAUGAAGUGGAUGCGGCUUAUGAAGUUUUUGAGAGGAUGCCGGAGAAGGAUUUGAUUUCUUGGACGGCCAUGAUCAGGAGGUUUGUAACGGAUGGAAGAAUGGGAAAGCCCGUUGAAUUGUUUGAUACGUUGAAAGAAAAAGAUGAUUUUGUUUGGACAGUUCUUAUAUCUGGUUUUGUGAGUAAUGAGGAGUACGAGGAAGCUUUGUGUUGGUAUGUUCGGAUGAACCGGGAAGGAUGUAAGCCUAAUCCUUUAACUAUUAGCAGUGUUCUUGCCGCUUCGGCUUCUUUGGUGGCACUGAAUGAAGGGCUUCAGAUCCAUUCCCAUGUUCUGAAGAUGAACCUGGAAUAUGAUCUUUCAAUACAAAAUUCCCUUAUAUCAUUCUAUGCCAAAUGUGGAAACGUAACCGAUGCUUACAAGAUCUUUGUAGACGUCGUUGAACUGAAUGUUGUCUCUAAUAACUCAGUCAUCAAUGGUUUCACACAAAAUGGCUUUGGCGAAGAAGCUCUCAAUAUGUAUAAAAGAAUGCAGAAUGAAAGCCUUGAACCCAACCGUGUUACUUUCCUUGCUGUUCUUUCAGCCUGUACUCAUGCAGGACUGAUUGAAGAGGGACGGAAUUUAUUUGACACCAUGAAAUCUCGUUACCGAAAUGAGCCAGACGCUGACCAUUAUGCUUGCAUGGUUGAUCUACUUGGCCGUGCCGGCUUGCUUGAUGAAGCUAAUGAUUUGAUUCGUUCAAUUACGGUAAAGCCUCAUUCUGGGGUUUGGGGGGCUCUUCUUGCUGCAAGCAGUGCUCACCUACGACUUGACCUUGCCAAGCUUGCAGCUCAACAUAUUACCAAGCUGGAGCCUGCAAAUGCGACUCCUUAUGUGGUAUUAUCCAACUUGUAUUCUGCUGCUGGACAAAAGAUUGAAGGCGACUUAGUAAGAAACACCAAGAAUUUAAAAGGAAUAAAAAAAAGUCCAGGUUGUAGUUGGAUUACUAUUAAAGAUAAACUUCACCUGUUUCUUGCAGGGGAUCAAUCACACAUGAAUAUUGAAGAGAUAAAAGCCAUAAUACUGACUAUAGAUAAAGGGAUGCAGUGGUUGUAUUAUUGUGAGCUCUGACUUCAACAUUAACUACUGUAAUUAUUAGUACUAACCAUGGAAGUUAUAUUAGUGUCUAGGCGUCUAGCAGAUUUCAGGCAUUAAAAAUAUGUACGUAUCUUCUACCUGAUAUGUUAACAUACUGAUAUGGGACAUGCUAGAGAAACAGACUAAUAUGAGAUGUAUCAGAAGCUCUUCAAUUCUAAUAUAACUUACUUGAACUUUCUAGUUAUCUGUUAUAAUAUUAAUAAUUUAAUAGUGUGUGUUUGUGUGCGUGAGAGAGAGAGAGAGCCUCAAUUACAACCUGAUGCAGUUCCUCUGAUGUUGUCAGUUUACUGCAUAAUUAUUGUUUAUUUUGUAAAUAUUAACAUUAUUGCUGUUGUUAUUAUUAGUAAUGUUUUCUAUGUUUUCUAUUAGUGAGUUAUGCCCUACUUUGUGGUAGCAAAGGUUUGUCUCUUAUGAUAACGUUUUUGCUGUUUUUCAAAUACGUGUCACCCUAAACUCAUAAUAAGAUGACACUAAUUUGCCAUUCCCCAGAAAAUAAGAAACCAGAAUUAACUUUUAUAAUAUUAAUUUUGUUUGCCAAAGUAUGCAUAUAUCGGAAAUUGCAUCCAAAUUUGACACAUUUAACCUUUUUUCAGACCUACAGAAACUGCUACUGUUUUACUCAAGCUUCGUUUGUGGUUGCUAGUUUUGGAAGCUAAUAUAUAAUAUGCUGUAUACUGUGAUGGUUAUAUGUAGGUUCCCUUAGUAAAGAUGGUCCACGAAGUUACUGCCAACAUACCGAAAUGGGCUUCAUUUAAUAGAAGUUGAGUAAAAGAUAAUAGAAGUUGAUGUAUAAGAUCCAAUUGCACUCAAGGUAAGUUCUUUACUUCUCUUUACUACUCUCUUAUCAAAAAUCAGAUUAGAUAACCUUAGACUUUUUUUAUUAAUAUGGAUAAUCGAAGAGAAAACCUAUAAAAACCUCAACACUCUAUAAAUGAUGUUGUUAAAGUCACGUGUCAUUAAAAUAGGAAUCACAGAGCUAAAAACAUAGAAGAAAUUAUGUAUGUGUCUCAUUUAGUAUCGUUUCACUUAAGAAAAAAGUUGCGGCUUACAAGAGCGAUUACCUAGAAAUAUCUUGCAAGUACAAAAGAAACAUUUGUUUAUGAAAUAAAAGAAAGACUUUUCGUGCUAAAGUUCAACAGUUUUGAUCUGAUGUACUGAUUUGAAGUUUGAAAUAGAAAAGAGUGAAGGUUGUCCUUGAGGGUAUUGGUGAAGACUGUGCUGGAUGAUGACAACUGUUGAAAUUUGGGGUCUAUUGGUGAGGAGUGCCUCUUCUUUAUAAACUCUUCUCAAGAGUGCUAUCUAUCCGAUGUGGGACUAAAUCCACCCCCUCAAAGCCAACAUAGUGAAGGUGUUGGAGACUGCAAUUAAAGCUAACCAAAGGUCGCAAUUAAGGCGACUAGGGGCGGACCACAAUUAAGGCGGAAUUUCCAACAACAACCAUUGGGGACCUCCUCCUGCUCCCGUCUUUAUCAUCUUUUUUAGUCAUGCUUACCUGCUACAGUGCACCAAACAAUCUACCCUUUGCACUGCUUAGUGCGUGAUCCCUUGGCUAAAACGUACAUACAUUGGCUUCAUUACACGUUGAUCAUAUAUUAAUGUAUUGAGGUUUUCCUAUCGGAAAUCUACUGCUGCUAACUCAUAGCGGCUUCAUUACACGUUGUCUCAUUACAAGAUUUUAUUAAAUUUUGUUCAUUUAAUUCAUAAAAAAUAUAAAAAUUAAAUUCAAUGCACGAAUUCCAACAAAUCAUUUCUAUAUUUGAUGCAUUAACUUGUGCCCUUUAGCAUUCCCCAAAAACAAAUUAUUAUUACGGUUAAGAACGUUAGUUUUUAGGCAAUAUGUUAUCACAAAUUUGGUGUAGUGUCAUAAACAUUUAUCAAAUAAUCGAUUAAAAAUUCCCAAUUCAAAUUAAUUUUGCAAAGUGUAAUAGCAACUUGUAAUCUUGCAUGACCAGUUCUCUGAUGCCGACUGAUGUAACUUUUAUGCAAGGUUGAUUAUAUUAGCACUAUAUUAUAAUGGGGGUCUUAGUACUAGUGCUAGUUUAAUUUAAUGGAAUACUGGUCGCACAAGAAACUUGUAAAGAAAAUCCUUGGCAUGUGACGCGAAAAAAUUAAGAAAGCUAAGACAGCAAGAAGAAAACAAGAUUAUGAACAAUGGGAACAUCCAAGAAGUUAGACCAUUGACCAGAGGAUUAAUUAAAGAACUUGCAUACAUCACAUGUGGGUCUCCCCUAAUAAAACAAAGAGGUGGAAGGAAGAGAAGUGCCUUAUACUUAAAGAGAGUUUACUAAAAGACAUGAAUACGAGGUAUAUCUUUUUUUGAGGGUACAAAAAAGCCUGAAGUAUACUUAAUAUAUUUAGAAGUGAUUUUCUUCCUUGUUUUCUUGUCCUUUUUUUUCAUUUUUUUUUUCAUCCUUAUAUUUUAAACAAAAUUAGCAUUGAUUUAUCAUUUCAUUAUUUAUGUCUGUGCAGAGCAAGCAAUCCUUAUAUGCUCUCUUGAUUGUAUAGACCUGUCAAUUGCAUUCCAGGAGAGAACAAGAGAAAUUAUUGUCAAUUACAGCUAGUUUCUAGCACUUGACAUAUCACCUGAAGCAUUAAGGUAUUUCUUUUCCAUCAACCAAAAAAGUUUAGAUUUCUGUUUUUUAUAGUACUAUUUUAUAGAGUGUAGGGUUAAAUAAGAGUACAUACCAAUUAUAGUCUUGAGAAAAAUGUUGAACCCAAUCUGUUUGGAUGAACAACUUAUUUUACUCCUUAUAGCAUAAGUGCUUAUCAUAUAAGCUCUUAAAAAAAUAAUAACUUUUUUGACUAAAAAAUAAUUAUUUAUUAACCUGUUAAAUUUUUUUGUUUAUUGUUUAGCAAAUCUAUCACUUCUUUUUUGAUAAAAAAAAAAAAAGUUUAGGCGAGUUGGGCUUCGAGGACUCACCAGGGUCAGGGCUGACCUCAACGUUCAGCGAGCGUUAACAGAGGUACUUAGAGGUUACCCAACAAAGAGUUACUUACACUGGCAGCAAGAGUUGAACCCACGACAAUAUGUCAACUCUUUACCAACUGAGGCAACCUUCAUUGCCUCUUUAGGGUUUCUCGGUGUCAGAAUUUUAGGUCAAUUAUAAGUAGUAAUUCGGUUAGAAAUCUGCACUGGUUUGUCACUUUUGAAUUUGUUUUUUUAGUUUCUUGCUUCUUUGUGCUUAGAUCUCAAUUUGUAACAUAGUUUAAUCAACUUCCUAUCUCAAUUUGUAACAUGUAUCCAAUACAAUUCUUAUGAGAAAACCUCUGUUUACUCCCUUCAUUUAUCCACGGCAGACCAAUCAUGACAGAAUCUUCUUCAGGCUUCUUUUUUCUCUUGCUGCUUAAUCGAAUAACCAUUCACUGGUAACGUACAAACAAGAAUGCCUGCAAUCAAACUGUGAGCAAUAGUUAACCUGAAACCAAGAGAGAUAAAACCACAACUAAAUGCCAACCUGUUACACGCAACAACAACUAUGCAAGCACAAAUGUACAGGAGAAAUGCAGCUAAAUGCAAUCCUUUUUAACUUUUUUAUUUCAGUGGCAUGAUGACUCUCGUUAGCCUGUUCCUGAAGUUUAUAAUUAUAAAUAACAUCAAUGCAUAUACGAAAUGCUGGAUUAUUGAAUAAACCCAAGAGAUGGUUGAGUCCAACUCACGGCUAUCUUUCAAGUUAGUUAUUUAUUGAUUGAAUUCUUUGUUUCAUUUCAACUACCAGCUAGCAAAGGGGUGGCCAUGGAUGCUACUAUUUCUGUUGCUGCUAAAAUUGCUGAGUAUAUGGUUGUACCUAUUGGUCGUCAAUUUGGUUACAUACUCUACUACAAGCGAAACCUUGAAAGGAUGAAAACUAAUGUCCAAAAGCUGGAGGGAACAAAAGCUAGUGUGCAACACACUGUUGAUGAGGCUAGAAGCAACGGAGAAGAGAUUGAGAAUAUUGUUCAGAACUGGAUGAACAAAGUGGACAUCAUGGUUGCUGAGGCAAAUAAACUCACUGAAUCUGAAGGCCAUGCAAAAGUUCAAUGUUCUAUAGGACACUUUCCCAAUCUGUGCACAAGGCACCAGCUGAGCAGGAAGACCAAAAACUUAAUACAAGAGAUUUCUGAAGUCCUAGCAGAAGGAAAAUUUGACAGAAUUUCUUACCGUCUUGCUUCUCAAGUGACAGUCUCGCCAUUUUGUAGAGGUUAUGAGGCUCUGGAUUCAAGAACAUCAAUGUUGAAUGAGAUUCUGAUGGAAUUAAAGAACCCCAACAUCUUCAUAAGUGGGGUGUACGGGAUGGGUGGUGUGGGGAAGACAACACUAGUGAAAGAGUUAGCUUGGCAAGCAGAGAAAGAUGGGUCAUUUGGUGCUGUAGUUAUGGCAACCAUAACUAGUUCUCCAAAUGUUGAAAAUAUUCAAGGCCAAAUUGCUGAUGCCUUGGAUCUACAGUUUAAUAAAGAGACAAAAGAGGGAAGAGCAAGACAAUUACGUGAAAGGAUAAGGAAGGAGAAGAAUAUUCUUGUUAUUCUUGAUGACAUCUGGGGGAGAAUUGAUUUGACAGAAGUGGGGAUUCCUUUUGGUGAUGAUUACAAAGGAUGCAAGUUGGUGGUGACAUCCAGAGAUCUUAAUGUGUUAAACUGUGAGAUGGGCAUUCAAAAAGAAUUUAGACUUGAAGUUUUACAACAAGAGGAUAGUUGGAAAUUGUUUGAGAAAAUGGCAGGUGAUAUUGUUCAUGAAUUAAAUAUAAAGCCAAUUGCAGUAGAAGUGGCAAGGUGUUGUGCUGGGUUGCCCCUUUUGAUAGUUACAGUGGCGAAGGCUUUGAGAAAAAAAGAUUCCUCUUCUUGGAAGGAUGCCUUAAAUCAAUUAGAGAGAUUUGAUCAAGAAGGCUUGCAUAAGAAAGUUUACUCUACCUUGGAAUUGAGUUAUAAUUGUUUAGAAAGUGAUGACCUGAAGUCACUCUUUUUAUUCAUUGGUUCAUUAGGACAGGGCAAUAUCCACACUGGAAUACUAUUUCGAUGUUAUUGGAGGUCUGGGUUUUGUAAACAUGUUCAGACAUUGACGGAGGCGCGCAACAGAUAUUUCAACUUAAUAAAUGACCUCAGGCACUCUUCAUUGUUACUUGAACUUGAUAAGGAUCGAGCAGAAAUGCAUGAUGUUGUACGUGAUGUAGCUAAAUCAAUUGCAUCUAGGUUUCAUCUUACUUAUUCUGUGAAAAGAUACACUCAAGUAAAACAAUGGCCAGAGAUAGACCAGCUUCAAAAAUGCCAUCAAAUCAUUUUCCCUUGGUCUUAUAUUGAAGAGCUUCCUGAGAAGUUGGAGUGUCCAGAGUUGAAACUACUCGUUCUUCAAACUAUAGGUGAUCAUUUGAAAAUCCCUGAUGAGUUUUUUUCUGAGACAAGAGAACUAAAGGUUCUUGAUUUGUAUGGAAUGAUGUUGACUCCUACUCCACCUCCUUCCCUUCGUCUCUUAACAAGCAUUCAAUCAUUGGUUCUUUCAGGAUGUGUGUUAGAAGACAUAUCAAUAGUUGCAGAGUUGAAAAGUUUAGAGAUUUUAAGCCUUGAAAAAUCUGAUAUUACCGACCUCCCAAAAGAAAUAGGACAACUAGCUAAUCUUCGAAUGUUAAAUUUAACAAGCUGCUCUGGACUGAGAUUCAUUCCUGCAAAUCUUAUUUCAAGCUUGACAUGCUUGGAAGAAUUGUACAUGGGCAAUUGUUUUAUCCAAUGGAAUGACGUGAGAAGCAAAGAUCAAAGGAAAAGUGCAAGUCUAGAAGAGCUAUGUAAUCUUUCUCAACUAACUACUUUGGACAUAAUGAUUCAAGAUGUUUCGGCAUGGCCACGGAACUUGCAGGUCUUUGCAAAGCUUGAGAGAUACAAUAUAUUUAUUGGUGAUAUGUGGAAAUGGACUUUGGAAUGGUCUGGAGGUGCUUCUGAAUCUUCAAGAAUACUUAAGCUGGUGGAGAGUAAGAGUACCUGCAUUCUUUUGGAUCACGGGUUUAACUUCUUGUUGAAUUCAACCGAGAAUUUGUGCCUAGCCAAAUUACAGUGUGUUAGAGAUGUCCUUUACGAGUUGAACAGUCAAGGUUUUCCACAAUUAAAACAUUUGUGCAUUCAAGACAGUGCUGAACUAAAGUACAUCGUCAACUCAACAGGGUGCAUUCAUCCCAAUCCAGCCUUCCCCAACUUAGAGACUUUGACUCUUGAAAAUCUGUUUAAUCUGGAAAAAAUAUGCCAUGGCCCAAUUCCAAUUCAAUCUCUUACCAAAUUAAAAUCUAUUGAAGUCAAAGGUUGUGAGAAGUUGAAAAAUUUGUGGUAUUCCCUCGUUAGAGACCUUCCUCAACUUCUUGAAAUAAAAAUUUCUGAUUGCAAAAUGAUUACAGAAAUCGUAGCUGUGCAAAAAUCUGAAGCCGAUAAAGAAUUCAACCAGAUUAUGUUCCCUAAAUUGCGUUCUCUUGAACUUGAACGUUUGCCAUGUCUCAUUAGUUUCUGUUCUGUGCCAUGUACAGCUGCACAAUUCACACCUUUGGCACUAAUUGAUAACAAGGUAAAAACAUGAUUUAACGUUUCUUCUUCGCUAUUUUGUCUUUUUAAGCCAUAUUGAGUGCUUUACCGGGAUUUUUAAAUUUCAACAUGUUAAAUUUAAAAUUCUCAGAUGUUACAUACUUUUUUUAUAAUUUUGUUUUAUAAAUUUGAAUGUGUUUACAUAUUUCAUUUCCAAUUUUAUUUUCUGAUUAAAUUUCCAAAAACUCCUAUGUGCUAUGUUUGGAUUUCCAAAAGGGAAUGAACUGUACUAGCAUUAAUAAAUUGCAAUUGUUUAUAUUGUGUAAAAUAGAGUGGAAAGCCUAACAGGGGGUAACAGAUGGAAAGUUGGUAUGAAAUUAUUAUUAUUUUUUUUUUUUGACAGAAGUUGGUACGAAAUUAUUGCGUGCAAAUACACACACACACGCACAUUAAACAUCUACUCUUUUUUUUUUUCUUGACAAUAUCCAUCAACCAUCAACUAAAUAUAAUUAAACACUUAUUUGAACUGCGGUAAUCACACAACGUUUUUCUUGUUUUAAAGCCUUGUAAAUAGAAAACCCCAAAAAUUAAGCAUUGUCUGUCGAAGCUGAUAGAUAGUAGGCCCAAGAAAAAGCUCAAACCCACAUCCACAAAAAUGUAAAAAGUGACUGUUGAUGGUUGUCUGAGCAUGGCUCAUCUAUAUCACAUCUUUGGGGGUAGGGGAGAAGUGUUGUCCCUCCAAUACAUACUGCAAUAUUAUUUCCAUUCUAACUAUUCUUCAAACAAUGAAUUGGAAACUUUGCUUCCUUUCAAACAACAGUGCAAUAUUUUUGUUUCAUCAAAUCCCAUAUAUUUCCAUUCUAUUAUGUACCUCAUUAGAUUUUCAUAAUGUGUUAUCUCACCAUCUCAAUUAUUUUUGGUUUUUCUCUCAACAUAAAUUAAUAUUGAAAAUAAGUUCUUCACAAGAAUCUUUUUGUUAACAGGUUGGAAUGCCCCACCUUGAACUCUUGAAGCUGUCAAAUAUCAACUCUAGAAAACUUUGGGAUGACAACCUUCCAGGUCAUUUUUGCAUUCAAAACAUGAGAAGUUUGACAAUUGACAAAUGUGAUGGCAUAGCGUACGCAUUCUCAUCCUCAGUGGCUAGAGAACUUGUAAACCUGAAGUAUCUUGAGUUUAGUAAUUGCCAAAUGUUGGAGGACAUCUUUGUCUCAGAUGGAAAGUUGGGUAAUCUUCCUUCAUCUCAGAAACAAUUCUCUGAUGAUGAGGUGAGCACUGUCUCCAACUCUGUAGCGAUCUUCGAUUUCAAUUUUAGUUUUGUUGUUUGUGCAAUUUACUGUUAAAGAUCUAAACAUAUUAUCGAUUGUAGGUUAUAUUUCCAAACCUAGAGGCACUGGAAAUCUCCCACAUGAAACACUUAAAGUCCAUAUGGCACAAUAAACUAGCUCCAAAUUCCUUCUGCAAAUUGAAGCAGCUGAAAAUUCAAUUCUGCAAUGAAUUAUCAAAUGUAUUUCCAUCUUUCGUGCUUGCUAAAUUACAGAAUCUGGAGACAGUGACUGUAUCUGAUUGUCCUGUACUCGAACUUGUAUUUGAAACACAGAGUCUAAAACCAGACGGUGGUAGACAAACAAGUCUGGAAAUGCAAUUGCGAACUCUCACUCUGAAACAUUUACCGAUGCUGAAACACAUAUGGAGCGGGAAUCCUAAUAAAAUCUUCAAGUUUCAAAACAUCUGCCAAUUGAAAGUUACUGAAUGCAAAAACCUUAAUCAUGUUUUUCCUCUCUCUGUGGCUACAGAGCUUCAGCAUCUCCAAGUGCUUCAUAUAGAAGAAUGUGGCAUAGAGAUUAUUGUAGCACAGGAUGAAAUGGCUGACACAAAUCCAAAGCUUAUUUUUCCAAAAUUAACAUCUCUGUCUUUAAGAGAAUUGACACAACUUCGAAGCUUCUAUCAUGCAUCACAUACCUUGGAUUCUCCUGUUUUAAGAGAUAUGGAUGUGUUUCAUUGUGACAAGCUCCUACUAUUCAAAAGCAGUGUCCCAAUUGAUACACUACCCCUUCUCUCAAUUGAAAAGGUACAGUUUACAUUUCAAUACUCUUCCCACAAAUGUCAUUUAGUUGUUUCUUGUUGCUACACACAAAAAACAUCAUUUUUAUAGGUGUCUUGGAGCAUGUUCUUUUACCGUUGAAAAAGUAAACAAUUUUCUGUGGAAUUGGGAAAUAAUUUCUUCUAUGUGCAUAAAAGUUUAUAUGAUUAUGUCUGUGGAAUUAGGAAAUAAAUUUAUUUUUCUAAAUAUAAUUUCAAAACACGAAUAGAGUACCGCCUAAUAUGCUUAAACAGACUACCGACGGCACACUAAUAUAUUUAACAAUGAUAAACUAAUGAAAGACCUGCAACAAAGAAUGAACAAUUGGCAUCAAGAAUAAUCACAAAAAUAAUAUCCUGGGUUGUGAUUUUGAUUCCCAAAUAGACCAAGGAUUAGUUGGUAAAGCCACCGAUGUAGUCCUUUGCUAGAAAUAACAACAGCAUGGUAGAGUGUGGGUUACACAUGUCAGAAAUGCCUCGGCGUGUGUAGGCGGUCAGUCGUUUUGGCUGCGAUCUUCUGGUUUCUAGCCAGUUUUAGGCCUGCUAUUAGCCAAUCCUAAUGCUACUGGCAUGAAUGCUGGAUUAGCGACGGAUAGUGGAGAAACAAAUGCGUGAAGGUGCUUUUUGAUUCCUGUUCAGUUGUUAACAAGUAUGAAACGGGUCAAAAGCACUGUUUGAUUGUGAACCGAGGUGAGAGUGCUCCAUUGACAGUGCUGUUGGUGUAAGCCCUAGAGGCCAAUAGUUUAUGUUAAACCUAUCUUAUGUAUCAUGACUUUUAUUAUUGAAUAAUAUAUGGCACUCUUUAUUAUAUUUAGAUAAUGUUAAUAAAGUCCUUAGAAUAGAUAGUUCGUGUAAUAAUAUAUUAAGUGUGACUUAAUCAUGAGAUUACAUUAUCUUAUAGAACGCUAUUCUUAAAUGUAUCCGUAGUCAAAGCUUUAAUAUGAAUAAAGGAUAAUAAUAAAGCGUCGAGACUAUUAUGUAUGUAGACUGAUGACCGCAUCUCAUGGGUCAUAGAUAUGAGAUAUCAAGUCUAUACAUAGAUAUAAAUAUUAGGAGUAAUAUUUAUAUUGGAUUGACCCACUGUGAGAAUACUACAUAGUAAGUUAUGAAAUUGUCAUAAGAUAUUCUCACAAUGAUAAUAAUGUAUAUCGCUCUUAGACCUGAAACCACUAUGAUCUCUAGAUGUGGACUCAAGUGCUUUGUUGCCAUUCUAACGUUGUCUGUAAAAGGAUAACAAUAACGUUGGUUGAUGGGCACUUGAUGAAUCAUGCUGAGGGUCAUGAGUGUCCUAGAUGGGAUUUGUCCCUCCUCAUAAACAGGAGAUAUAUCUUUAGGCCUCUUGAUGAAAUAUGACUAUAAAUAUGCAUGGCCAUGCCGAACUAAGUCAAUAUAAGAUAUUGGACUUAUUCGUUAAAUAGUAUAUUUCGGAAUCAAGAUAAAUGAACAUUGAUCUAUACAAGGGUGACACUAUCUAUGCCUUGGGAUCAAUGAAGAUAUUGAGACAAAGGAGUAAUUAUACACAUAUGUAUUAUCAUGAAAGGUUUCGUCAGAUCACUUGACAUUCUUGUCACUUGGGUAGCCAUGAUGUGUUGCUAGAUACCGCUCAUUGUUUAUAAUAUUAAAUAUUAGAUUUAAUAUUAUUGCCAACGUGACUAGAACCUAAAGGGUCACACACAAAGAACAGUCAAAAGAGAUAUGUAUAAGUACGACUUAUAUAAAGGGUGCGCUUAGUAAAUAAUGCUAAUGAUUUAGCAAAGUUUACUAAACUCGUAUUGGGCUUAAUGAAGUCAAAAACGAGUUUGACUUGCAAAGCACAUAAGGAGUUCUAUAAAUAGAACCCUAGUGCAACAGUUUGCGGUUACGUUCUUUUGCAGAAACCCAAGCUCUCUGACUUCCGUCUUCUUGGCUAGCACCGAGGUUUUGGAGGAGGACUGUUCGUGUGGACUUGAUAGAGGCUCUGCUAUUUGCUUGGCUGUGAUCGUGAUUCCGGUUCGCAAAUUUCACCGUUCGUUCUCAGACCAACCGUUCUAAGGUAACAAUCAUAUCACUGGUUCAAGUUCCAAUUCGUAAUGAUCCAAGGAAAGUAAAUCGAAAUUUUAUUCCGCUGCUCAGGCCCGGCCCUUGGGGGGUGCAAACAGCUCAAUGGAGCUGGGCCUCCCCAAGGUAUGGGCCUCAUAAAAAAAUUUAUAGCCUAGUAAAUAAGUAAUAAAUAAAUAUAACGCGAGUUGUUUUUUGUAUUUGCUGAAGCGGCUCAGUGGCAUUGUUGCAAGCUGGUAAUGCCAAGGUUAUGGGUUCAAAACCCCCAUUUCAUUGUUUUAUGAUAUUCUUUUCCUUUUUUUUUUUUCUUUCAUUUUUUCUUCUUUUCUUUUCCUUUUUGCUUCUUUAAUUAAUAUGAGGGCUUUGAUUUAUACAUUAUUUUAUCUGGAUUUGAGGUUCAUCUAUCUUCUCUUCAAUUUAGCCAAAAUCUUCUUAAUAUAUUAGAUUAUAUAUUUACAAAUGAAAACAUAAUAUAAUUUUUUUCUUCUUCUUAUUUUGUUAGAAGACUUGUAAUUUUUGGCCUAUUCUUGUUGUAUAAGAUAGUUACACUCUAACAACAAAUAUUAUAAUUGUUUUACUUGAAAGAACAAACAUUAUAAACCAUUUAUUUUUGGCUUUGUACAAACUAAGGAAAAAUAUAACCCAGAAGAUUGAUAAAGAUAUUCGCUUAAAUUGUAUUUAUAUUAUUGAUUAGAAUAUUGAUCUUUUAUGUAUUAGUUACAAUAAACACUUUUUUUAAUCUUUACGGAUCUUAUUUUCAAUUUCAAUAGAUAAUUGCUCUUUUAAAAAAGUUAUAUUUUUUAUUUUAUUAGGGGCCUAUUUUCACAUGAGAGCCGAGCCUCCAAUUACUCAGGGACGGCCCUGCCGCUGCUCAUUCUGAUUACGUCGAUUUACCUUCAAGUGCUCCACUGAAGAUGGCUAGGGUUUAUGCGGAAGCGAGCCUCAAAACCAAGAGCUUGCGAUACCAUGUGGAAUUGGGAAAUAAGUUCUUAAUAUAAUUCCAAAACAUGAAAAGAGUACAAAACUAAUAUGCUUAAAUAGACCACUCUUCAACUAACAGGUAUGAUGAAUGGGUCGACUACAAUUAUUACUCAUAAUUAGAUAAUAUAUGCUAUUUGCAAUAGUGAGAAAACUGUUAGCAUUAUUCUUUUCUUUACAUAGCUAUUAGCUUGAAUCUGAUUACUUGUGUUACCUAGGUUGUCACCAACACAAGGGAGCUUAUUCUGAAUUGCAAGGAUGUCACCAUGUUAUGUAGCGGUCAACUUAAUAACGAGUCUAUCUACACAGUGAAAGCUCUUCGUCUGCGAUGUUUUCAUGACGAGUCUGAGAAGUUUCCAACUGGUUUCCUCCAAAGAUUUAUCAAUCUUGAAAAUCUUAAAGUGUCUUGUAGUUCUUUCACUGAGAUUUUCUCAAGUGGAAGCUUUGGCACUGAACAUUCUGAAAGAAAGAUGAAGUUGAGAAAACUAGUAAUUGUUGAACUAAAUAACCUCGAGUUUAUAUGUGAAGAGAAAUCUGAGAUGCAUGUUCUUCAAGAUAUUGAAAUAUUGGCAGUAUCUAAAUGCUCUAGACUGAAAAGUAUAGUUCCAUCGUCAGUCCUGUUUGGGAAUUUAGAGCAUUUGGAGGUACGCUAUUGCGCUGGAUUGGAAAAUAUUAUGAAAUCUUCAGUGGUUAUUAGUAUACAAAAACUUCGAAAAUUAUGUAUUCAUGACUGUGAAAAGAUAGAAGAAAUAAUUGCAAGUGAUGAUGAAAGUGAUGCUUCUGAGCUAGCUUUUAUGAAAUUGAAGUAUUUGAAACUGAUUAACUUACCAAGGCUUAGAAGUUUUUGCAAGGGAAAACAUAGCCUCAAAUUUCCGCUACUAAAGAAGUUAUUUGUAGUAGAUUGUCCCAUGAUGGAAACUUUCUCACAUGGAGUGUUGAAUGCACCAAAGCUCAGAGCAGUACAUGUAAAGGAAGGAGAUGAAUGGCAUUGGAAUGGUGACCUUAAUACUACUAUAAGAAAAUUUGUAGCUAAACCGGUAAUGUCUAUACAAAAUCUAUGUCUCCAAUCAUGAUUCAAAUGUUAUAGCUUGCAUUCUCACAUUGUUGUGCCUUUUCUUGUUUGCGAGUAUCCAGAACUCUAAGGGUGAUUGAGUUUGUCCUCAAAAUUCGAAGAAGGCUCAAGUAGCUGUAAUUCUUCACAACUGCUUGGUAAUUCAGAAAUUCUAUGAUGCAUAGGUACGGGUACGGUACCUGGUCUUAGUACAGAUACGAAAUACGAUAAAUAUUAAAAAUCGAAGGUACGGGUACAUUAAUGUAAAAUAUCAAAAAAAUUAGUUUUUUAGUGAAUUACUACCGUGUUGUUGUAAAAACAUGUGUUAUGGAAAAAACUCAAUUAUAAUAAAGAACGGUAUAAUACUAUUUGUAUUUUAACCAUUUGUUUAACCACACUUUAUAUCAUCAUCCUUCAUAGAUUUACUUUCUUUGUCUACUGCAUUCACAAUUUUAAUCAAAAGCAAGAGAUAUAUUUGAAAUACAAUAAAAAAUCAAAAUAUUUUCUACAAUUUUUCACUGCCUGCACAUUUUUGCAGUAUCAACUACUAUGAAUCGAUCAAGUAAAAAUGAGUUUUGAUCGGUAUGUAUGUGCAAGUACCAUACGCGUAUGCGGUAUGGUACGGGUACUUCACCCUUUUAGGAGUACCCAUGCUUCAAGGACUGAGAGUAUCUAGGAGGAAGAAACCUGUUUAAUUGCACGAGUGACAGUAACGCAUGACCAAUGCAUGAAGAUCAUUGUUUCUCUCAUUAGAAACUUUUGUGUUGAAGAUAUGCAAUUAUUAUUCAUUGUAACUUCUGGUUUCCUUAGUGACACUCCCUCUAGUUUUCAUAAAGCACUAAAAUCAUUAUUAGAGAGAAAUUGCAAUGUCUCAGUUUCCUCUCUUUCUAUUUGUCUCUCUACAACAAAAUGCAGAAAAUAGUGUGAUUGGUUUGCAAUAGUACUGGUUAUUAAUAUGAGCAAGUUGGGAUUGUAGAAGAGUAAAACUAAUUUUGCGUCAUGCACAUGCUAUCUAUCCAUAGGCUCUUUUGUUUAUUGCUAUUUCCAAUUGGCUCUUUGAAUGUAGGCUUAAUAAAUACCCGGUCCCUUAACUUAUUUUAAUUUCUCAGAUUGGUCCCUUAACUAUCAAAUGUUUCAGUUUGGUCGUUAUCUUUGUUUUCGUCAUCAAUUUGAUCCUAUUUUAUUAAUUUUAAAUACCUAAAAAAGUAGACCAUUGGAUAAAGGAAGUUCAUCAUAUCUUACAGUGCAUCACCAACACUUAAGUAUCUGAAAUUUAAUUUUUAAAAAUUCAAAGUAAAAUAUAAAUUCAUUUAUAUUAAUUUAGAAAUAAAUAAAUUUAAAAAAAUUGAAAAUUAAUUUUCGAAAAUAAAAAAAUUCAAAAAAAAUUCAGGAUUUUUUAAAAAAAAAAUAAAUUGGAAAAUUACUUUUAAUUUCGAAAGAAAAAUCUGAUCUUUUUCGGAAUAUAUUUUCUAAUAAUUAGGCAAAAUCGAUUUUUGAUAAUUAUAUUUUUUUCGAAACUAAAAAGAUUUGAAAAAAUUCUGAAAUUUAAUUUUCAAAAUACACAAAAAUUUUAAAAAAAUGUCAGAUUCUUUUUCGAAAAAAAAGUUUUUAAAUUUUUUUCUACAAAAAAAAAAAAAAUUGGAAAAUAUUUUAAAUUUUAAAAAUUUGGAUACCAAUUUAGAAAAAAUUCAGAUAAUUUUUUUCAAAAAUUUUAUUUCUGAAUUACGAUUAUUUUAAAAAUAAUUUUUUUUACGAAAUUAUGAAGAUUUUUCGAUUUUGGCUAAUUAUAUGUUUCGAAAAAGUUCAUAUUUUUCUUUCAAAAUUAAAAGCCAUUUUCCAGAAUUAUUUUUAAAAAAAUCUACAAAAAAAAAAAAAAAACCUGAAUUUUUUCAAAUUUUUUAGAAUUUUUUUUUAUUUUUGAAAAUUAAUUUUCAAAGUUUUUUAUUUCUAAAUUAAUAUAAAAUAAUUUUUAUUCUUUUUAUAAAUUAAAUUUUGGAUACUUAGGUGUUGGUGAUACACGGUUAGAUAUGAUGAACUUCCUUUAUCCAACGGUCUUUUUUUUUAUGGAUUUCAAAUUAAUAAAAUAGGACCAAAUCGAUGACGAAAACAAAGAUAAAGACCAAAUUAAAACGUUUAAAAAUUAAGGGACCAAACUGAGAAAUUAAAAUAAAUUAAGGGUCCGAGAGAUGUAUUAAGCCUUGAAUGUAUAUGAGCCAAGUUUUUAUCAAAAUAAACAAACUUAACUCAUAUCAUUAAACAACGGAAUUGAAGACAAGGAGCACUAUCAAAGCUACAGUGCCAAGCCCAUGAAGUGGCCGCCCUUUCAAGCGUAUGAGCGACCAUAUUCGCUUGUUUGCAAAUAAACUUAGUACUAACCUCAUAGACAAAUCUAUGCCGCAUGAAUCUAUGCGUGCAACUCUUUCUAUGCCGCAACUUGUAACUACCAGCUAUGCUAGUUGAACAAGUGACAAGCUCCCUUCAAGACAAAUCUUGGUUUCUGCUUCCAAUCCCUCUCUCCAAUGAUGAAGGCAUCAUAUCAGAGUUUGAGCAGCACAAUGGUGAUCUUUGACACCUCUUUCCUUAGGACCUUUCCUUUUUUAGUACAGAUUCAAUUUUUCUUUUCAUAGAUUUUACACUUUGUGACUCUGGUGUAUUGAUUCAGGCCUCUCUCGUCGUUUAUAUUUUAUUGCUUUGAUAAAAAAAAAUAAACAAAGUCAUUUAUCUUGUGGUAUAUGUAAAUGAUAUUGUUAUUACCGGUAAUGAUAAGAAGGCAUUAAAGAUCUAAAACAACAUUAUUCAACCACUUUCAAACAAAAGAACGUUGGAUUAACUCAACUCGUUUACAUUAUUAGAACCAAUUGCAACUUAAAUAGCAAUAACUAAAAAGCAUAUAGAUAGAAGUAUAGGCAUGUCGCAGGAUUGUUUACCCUUCUACCUUCACAACACUUGGUCAUAUUAAUAUAACCCAAAACUGUUCUAAAUCAAGUACUAUUUUCUGUAUUUUCUUGUUCAGUGACAAAUAGAAUGAAAGGAAACUAUGACAUUGCUAUUUCUCUCUAAUCUUGAUUAACACUAUUAACACAGGGAAGGUUUGCUAACAAUAUUACAUUGGCCGUUUCAACAACGAAAAAUCAUAGGGUAUAAAACGAUCCAACUUGAAGAGGGAAGGUCACUCUCAUGUAUAAUAUAUUUGUACAUGGAUAAUUAACUCAUUAUAACACAGCUAUUCAAAAUGUGAGAGCACAAUAUAAAAUUGAAUUUGUAAAAGGGUUAAUAGGUCUUUACUUAUCCCCUGUAAUAUAGGUCAUUUCUGGUUUUCCUCCCUAUCUUUAUUCACCCCCCGUAAAAUAUUUUUGUUUUAAAAAUUUUCGUUGUUUUUGACAGGAGGUGAAUCAAAAUAAAAAUUUUACAGGGGAAAAACCGGAAAUGACCUAUAUUAGAGGGGUAAAGGGUAAAGACCUAUUAAUCCUUUGUAAAAUUAAAUGUUACUAUGUAAAACAUGAGAAAUCAUUUUAGCUUCGUAUGGUUAAUGACUGAAGAAAGUAACAGUAUGGUUAAAAAAAGUAAUAGUAAAAAAAAAACAACUUAAUGCAGUCCAAUGAUGAACAUGCACGGAACUUCUGAAGUAGCAUGUCUUUGAAUUCCAACAUUUUAAUCUCAAGAAUUAACAAUUGAUCUCACACACACUUAAUCAAGCAAUCAUCUCCUAUAUUUUAAGUAAAGUUUAGGAGAGAUCAGUUUUGAAAAUAACAGAAAACAAGUGAUGACAGAAGUCAUAAUCAUAAAAAAAAUAAGUCAUUGCACUGAUACAUGAUGAUGAUUGUAAACGCUUCAUGCCAUUUGAGUUUAGCCGAUUAGCCUCGCACACAAAACAUAUGGAUACACCCCCCUGCAGUGGGAAACAGAAUGAAAGAAUAAUUUUCAAAAUGACGGAAAAAGGAUAAUAAUGUAUGCCAAAGAAACUAACACAAAAUUAUUGAAGAACAUGAAAUAUAAUAAAUAAAAAGCCCAAUGUGCUAGUUCUAAAUUACCAUGUGGUUGAGACGAAUCAUCUACUUGAGCCUUCAAUCAAGUUUUGAGGACAAACACAAUCAUCCUUAGAGCUCUGGAUAUUCAUGAACAAGAGAAAAAAAACAGCAAAGUGAGAAUGCAAGCCAUAACAUUUUGAAUCAUGAUCGGAGAUAAUUGAUUUUGUAUAUAUUACCGUUUUCGCUACUAAUUGUUUUAUAGUAGUGUUAACAUCACCAUUCCAAUGCCAUUCAUCUUCUUCCCUCACAUGUACUGCUCUGAGCCUUGGUGCGUUCAACACUCCAUGUGAGAAAGUUUCCAUCACGGGACAAUCUACUACAAAUAACAUCCUCAGCAGUGGAAAUUUGAAGCCAUGUCUUCCCUUGCAAAAACUUCUUAGCCUUGGUAAAUUACUCAGUUGCAAAAACUCCAAUUUCAUAAAAAUUAGGUCAGAAGUAUCAUUCUCAUCAUCACUUGCUACUAUUUCUUCAAUCUUUCCACAACAAUGUAUGUAUAAUUCUUUAAGAUUUUGUAAACUUCUAGCUGUUGAUGGUUUCAUAAUACUUUCCAAUCCAGCACAAUGGCCCACCUCCAACUUCUGUAAAUUCUCAAACAUAACUGACGAUGGAAAUAUAUUCUUUAGUCUAGAGCAUGAAUUUACUACCAAUCUUUCAAUAUCUUGAAGAACAGGUUGCACCUCAAAUUUCUCUUCAAAUAUAAAUUCGAGGUUUUGUAACAUAAUGAGUUCUAAACUUCCCAACUUCAUAAUUGUUUCAGAAUGUCUGGUGCAUUCGCUUCCAUUUGCAAAUAUAUAUGUGAAGGAACUACAUGUCACCUUAAGGUUUUUGAGAUUGAUGAACCUUUGGAGGAAACCAGAUGGAAACUUUUCAGACACAUCGUGAAAACAUCGCAAGCAAAGAGCUGUUACUGUGUUGAUAAGCUCAUCAUUAAGGUGACCAUUGCAUGCCAUGGUGACAUCCUUGCUGUUCAGAAUAAGCUCCCCUUUGUUUUGGACAAUCUAUGAAACACAAGUAUUCAAAUUCAAGCGAACAACUAGGUAAAGAAAAAAGUAUCGGGACAUAAACAUAUAAACUUAAUAAAAACAUGGAAUGAAACUAAACUUGAAUUUUGUUUACUUUUUCAAGAAGAAAAGAGCAAGCAGCAUGACACAUAUCUAUUAUAAAUGACAUUUUUGGUGUGUAUACUAAAAGCAACUAAAUAUGUGCAUGAAGCAUUUUGCCAUUUGUUAGUAGAGUAUUGAGAUGUAGAAUGCACCUGUUCAAUUGAGAGAAGGGAUUUUGUAUCAACUGGGACAAUUUCUUGGUAAUUUAUAGACUUUGGUUUGAAUAGGACGAGCUUGUCACAAUGAAGCACAUCCACAUGUCUUAAAGCAGGACAAUCCAGGGUAAGUAAUCCACGGUAGAAGCUUUGAAGUUGUUUCAAAUCUCGAAAACUCAAAAAUGUUAAUUCUGGGAAAUUAAGUAUUGGAACUGUGUCAGACAUUUCAUCUUGUUCUACAAUAAUCUCAACGCCACAUUCUUUUAUAUAAAUCCCUUGGAGAUUCUGAAGCUCUUUAGCCACAGAGAGGGGCAAAACAUAAUUGAGGCUUUCGCAUCCAGUAACUUGCAAAAGGCAGAGGUUUUGGAACUUAACACUUUCAUUAGGAUUCCCACUCCAAAUGUGUUUCAGCAUCGGUAAAUGGUUCAAAGUGAGAGUUCUCAAUUGCAUUUCCAGCUUUGUCUGUCUACCACCGUCUACUUUUAGACCUUGUGUUUCAAAUACAACUUCUAGUGUAUGACAACAAACUACGGUCACAGUCUCCAGAUUCAGUAAUUUAUCAAGCACAUAAGAUGGAAUUACAUUUGAAAUUUCAUUGCAUAAUUCAAUUUUUAACUCCUUCAGUUUGCCAAAGGAAUUUGGAGUUAGUUGAUUGUACCAUACAAACUUCAAGUGUUCCAUAUGGGAGAUUACCAAUGUCUCCAAGUUUGGAAAUAUAACCUACAAUCGAUAAUAUACUUAGAUCUUCCGCAGUUAAUUGCACAAGCAGCAGAAGUAAGAUAAAAUCAUACAAUAGUUAAUAUUUACAGAGUUGGAAACAGUGUUCACCUCAUCAUUAGAGAAUGGUUUCUGAGACAAAGGAAGACUACCCAACUUUCCAUCAGGGACAAAUAUGCCCUCCAACAUUUGGCAAUUACUAAUCACAAGUUGCUUCAGGUUUACAAAUUCUCUGGCGACCGAGGAUGAGAAUAUGCAUGCUAUGUUAUCACAUCCGUCUAUUGUCAAACUUCUCAAGUUUUGCAUCCAAGAACGACUCGGAAGUUUAUCAUCCCACAGUUUCCUAGAUUUGAUCUUAGAGAGCUUCAAUAGUUCAAGGUGGGGCAUCUCAACCUAUUAACAUAAAGAUUCUCAUGAACAUCUUAUAUUUCAUAUUAAGAUGAUACAAGAAUAAGUGAGAUGAUGCAAUAUUUCAUGGAAAGAUGCGAUUUUUUGAAACAAAAAUACCAUAUUCUUGUUUGAAAGGAAGCCAAACUUUCCAUUUUAUUGUUUGAAAAAAUACAGAAUGGUAAGUUAUAAUAUUAUUUAUUAUAGUAACUCCAUCCCCUUAACCACAAAUUGAAAGAUAAAGAAAGUAGAGGUAUUGGAAGAAUCAUAAUAAAUAUAUGUCGUUUGUUUUUAUUCUUUUUCACACUGCUCUUAUUUUUUUACUUUUGUAAGAUAUUGACUUUGUAUAUACAUGAAAAUAACAGAUGAGUUGAAGGUAACAAGCUGCGCCACUAAGCCUUUUAGGUGACAAAACCAAUCCAAACAAUGGAAACUAGAAUGCCAUUUCAUUUCUUGAACUUUUAAUUCUGUUUCCUUUUGUCAAUUCAAACACAGCGCACAUGAGUUUUUUUAGCUUUAGUCGGCAAUUAAAAUAGGAAAUGACAUCAGGUAACACAUUAAGUAUGUAAACAUCAAAAAAUUUAAAUCUAACUAUGUUGAAACAUCACCAUAAAGAACUUUAUGUGCCUUAAAAAGACAAAUAGUGAAGUAGUCGCGUUAAAACAUAUUUUUACCUUUUGAUCAAUUAGUGCCACAGGUAUGCAUUGUGUACUAUCAUAAUUUUCACCACGCACUUUGAGACUCUUUUCAAUUGUCAAUGGCACGGAACAUAAACUUACGAGACUUGGCAAACAUUCAAGUUCAAGAGAACGUAGCUCGGGGAAGAUAAUCUUCCCCAUUCCUUUUUCUACCUUAGAUGUUUGCACAGCCAUGAUUUCUGUCAUCAUUUUGCAAUUAGAAAUUUUUAUUUCACGAAGUAGGGGAAGAUCUGUAACAAGGGAAUAACAUAUCAGAUUAUUCAACUUGUCACAACCUUUGACUUCAAAAGAUCUUAGUUUGGUAAAAGAUUGAAUUGGAAUUGGCCCAUGGCAUAUUUCUUCCAGGUUAAACAGAUUUUGAAGAACCAAAGUCUCUAAGUUGGGCAAAGCAUGAUAAGUUGGGUAAAGCAUCGAGUUAAUGAUGUACUUCAUAUCAGCAAUGUCUUGAAUGCACAUAUGCUUUAAUUGCGGAAAACCAUUCCUGUUAAGUUCACAAAGAAAAUUUCUAACACAAUGUAUUUUUGCAAGGCACAUGUCCUCAGCUGAAUUCAACAAGAAGUUAAACUCACAAUCCAAAUGAAUACUUGAACACCCAUUGUCUGCGAGCUUAAGUAUUCUUGAAGGUUCAGAAGCACCUCCAGACCAAUCCAAAGACCAUUUCCACAUAUCACCAACAAAUAUGUUGUAUCUUUCAAGCUUUCCAAAGACCUGCAAGUCCCUUGGCAAAACUGAAGCAUCUCGAAUCAUUAUGUCUAAAGUAGUUAGAUGAGACAAAUUCCUUAGCUCAUCUAGACAUGCACUGUUGCUUUGUUCUUUGCUUCCCUUUACAUUCCACUCGAUAAAACAAUUCCCCAAGUACAACUCUUCCAAGCAAGUUAGGCUUGAAAUAAGAUUUGCAGGAAUGAAUCUCAGUCUAGAGCAAUUGGCUAAGUUCAGCAUUCGAAGAUUAGUUAGUUGUCUUAUUUC
rnacentral:lncRNA from 1 species